UUUUUCUUUUGGUUUUUGUCACCAAAUCGAUUGAGCAUACAGGAAUUUAGGAUGUUAAUGGCGUUUACGAUUUGUAUACAUUUGGGUUUUUUGUUUUGAGAAUCGAUAAUUUCUUUGAAAAUUAUAGUUUUUAAGACCGUGUAAGAAAUUAUUGAUUCUUAAAACUUUUUUUGUAAAUUAUAAAUUUAUAGUUGAGUUUUUAGUAGAGAAAUAUAUAAUUUUUGGUUUAAUUAUUAGAUUGUCCUUUUUUAUUAUAAAAACUCAAUUGUAAACUUUAUAAAGGUAAAGAUAGUAUCGGAAUUCUAAAUAAAUAGAUAAUGAAAAUCAAAUUUUUUUAAUCGGUUUGUUUAUGGUUUGAAGAAUGACACGCAUUUGUCGGAAUGUGCGUGCCAUUCUUCGGGGGUCUACUGGGAUUCUUUGGUGGGCUAGUGUUUGCCUCCCCUUCAUACUUUGUAAGUUAUCGAGUGAUAGACAAUACUGCUUUUUUAGUUAUGUACGAUUCAGAGGAGUCUGGAUUAUCAGCCAACAAAACAACAAUCUUUGCCGACAGCAAGGAGAAAUUCUGACCGUCCAUCUUAAACUCCAAAUCUAAUGGUUGAAAUAACUACAGAUAUAAGUUGAUCAAAUCAUCAUUUGUCCUACUUGUCAAUCAUUAUUCUCAGUUCUUAAAAAUAUGUUACCACACUUUCAGAAAGACCCACCCUCUAAUUACUUUGUGGAAUGUGAUUCCUUUGCUAAUCCGUGGUAAAUACGGAUUAGGGUUACCAAACAAUAAUCACUAGGGCCCAUUUACUUCCUUCGCAUAUAUCUUUGAAGCUAUGAGCUCACGGGCCAUAGUCUGACUGUGUGGGCCUAUCCUGAUAUCAAGUUAACGGCCCAAUAGUCGAGGGAGGGUAAUAUUGACUAUUGGCUAAACAUGAAAUCAAAUUUGUAAAAAUAAAAAAGUUUAUUUCAUAUUGUGAAGCAAUGAAUUAUAAAAGCUAAAGACAAAAGUGUUGGUCCAAAAUGACCCCACAAAGAGAGUAGAUUUUGUGGACUCUACUUUAAUCAUUUAUUUUAUUACUAAAAAGCUAAAGCAAUAAGUUGAAAAUAAAAGCUAAGGAUAUAAGAAUAUUAUUUUAUUAUUGUGCACUACCCUAAAAAAAACCCCUUCAUUUUGGUAUUUUCUUGCAUGGCCAGAUGUUCUUCAUGGGCUAAAGAAAAAAUCUCCUUCAAAUAGUCAAACAAAUUAACCAAAAAGAAUUGCUGUGUGUGAAAUUAAAAAGCAUAAUGAAACUUUUCUACAUCCCUCACUAUCAAUGUAGAAAUGUACAUCAAUUUACAUUGAAUCUAUAUUUAAAAUCAAUGUUUUUAUACUUUGGUGGAAAAUAGUUGAAUUUCUUUUAUUUUAAAAUAUGAAAAAUUUAAACGGUCAAUUAUGUUAAGCGAAACAUGCAUGAGCAAAACCUUUAUUAAAACUCGUAAUUGAAAAAUAAUAGAUGAAAAUCUAUCAAAGUGAUUGCCAAUUUUAGCGUUGAAAGUCAAUAUUUUACACACCUUCAGCUUUUCGCCCAAAAAGAGCUAAAGCCAGAAACCGUGUUUUCUUGGGAAAGAUUCCCAGUAGCUUUUUGCUCCUUGUGAAUGAACAAUUGAUGAACACAAAACAAAGACAUAAACCUCAAAAACAUCAAAACACUUCACUAUGAAGCAAACAUUCUUACACACUGACUAGCAACACAGAUCCACACACACGCACACAAAAAGAGAAUCAAAAGAUGGGUCUUGUUCCUAUGUUCAGUACCCAUUUCAUCCUUCUUUCUCUGCUCUUAGUUUCUCCUGCUCUCUCCCAACUUUCAGGUUUGUGUCUGUGCCUGUUUUGCUCCAAAGCUAACAGCUUUCUUGUGUUCUUCACUUCCUAUCGUCCACCAUGAUGAUCACCUUUGUGUCUUAGAUCAGCUGUUUCAUGAACUCUGUACAGAAUCCUCAGAAUUUGUUCCAUACACGGAUGGAGAUUUGUCUACUUAGUGAAGGGUUUUCAUAGACUUAGUUGGAUACUCAUGUCGGUCGAGAUUUGUUUCUAACGAAAUUAGUUGAUCCAAAUCCCCCUGUAUCAAAUGUGUCGGACCAGUUGUACUCUAUACUCUCAUUGUACCGUCCAUUUCCACCUACCUAGUUUAUUUACCUCUUGUUUUCUCCGAAUGGAAGAUCUUGAAAUCAUUAUAGAUCUCUUUUGAAUGUGUACUCUCUGAUCAUAGUGGAGCGUUUCGUAACAGAAUCUUCGUAUGUAUGUACUAAUGAAACCCCUAAUUGUGGUAUCGUGUCCUGCAGAGUUUGUGAGCAUAGACUGUGGAGGAACAAGCAACUACAGUGACUCAAUCACAGGACUACAAUGGGUUUCAGACGCCACAUUAAUGAACUACGGAAAAUCAGUGGAGGUCCAGAACCCAGAUGGGAACUUGGAGCAGUACAAAAGGAGGAGAGAUUUCCCCAUAGACAGCACCAAAAAAUACUGCUACAAUAUGGCGACUCUGGAGAGAAGGCGGUACCUGAUUCGAGCUACAUUCCAGUAUGGAAACUUGGGGGAUCAGGAUGCAUACCCCAAAUUUGAUCUCUACUUGGAUGCAACCAAAUGGUCUACUGUCACGAUUUUGGAGUCGGCUAGAGUGUAUGCCAAGGAAAUGAUCAUAAGGGCACCUUCUAGCUCUGUUGAUGUUUGCAUAUGCUGUGCAACCACUGGCUCUCCGUUUAUCUCGACUCUUGAGCUGAGGCCGCUCAAUCUUUCGAUGUACGCGACUGAUUUCGAGGACAGUUUCUUCCUCAAGGUUGCUGCAAGGAUGAACUUUGGUGCCUUGGACAAGGAUGCUAUAAGGUAUGCAAAUGUGGUGUAUGUAAAGAUAGUUCUUUUAUCACUAAAGUCGCGAUAAGUCGACCCUAUGUAUUAUACAUUUAUCUUAUUUGAGUUGUGUCACAUAAGCCAGUUUUCCAUUUUCGACGAAUCCUAUUUUCAUGAUAUUUUGACCAAUUUGGCUUGCUGCAGGUAUCCUGAUGACCCAUAUGACAGGAUUUGGGAUUCAGAUCUCGACAGAAGACAAAACUACUUAGUAGGUGUAGCUCCAGGGACGAUGAGGAUCAAUACAACUAAAGACAUAUGGGUUAGUACUAGAGAGUACCCUCCAGUGAAAGUAAUGCAGACUGCAGUAGUUGGCACAGAAGGGACACUAAGCUACAGGCUAAACCUUGAGGACUUCCCAGCAAACGCAAGAGCCUACGCGUACUUUGCUGAGAUCGAGGAUCUGGGUCCAAAUGAGACGAGGAAGUUCAAGCUGACACAGCCUUAUUUCCCGGAUUACAGCAAUGCAGUGGUGAACAUCAUGGAGAAUGGUAAUGGCACCAACAGCCUAUACGAGCCUAGCUACAUGAAUGUGAGCCUCGAGUUUGUGCUCUCGUUCUCAUUUGUCAAGACUCGCGAUUCCUCUCGUGGACCGCUCCUCAAUGCCAUGGAGAUCAGCAAGUACCUGCAGAUUGCUGCUAAGACUGACAUCCAAGACUGUAAGUUUUUUUAUAAGGAACAUUUCACCAGUCCAAGUCAACCAACGUUGACCAAAACUCAUUCCUUCGUGAUCAUCGGCAGUGAAUGUUCUUAACGCGUUUCGAUCCAUGGCUCCCGGAAGCUCGUGGACUAGUGAUGGAGGUGACCCUUGUGUGCCAGCUCAUUGGGAAUGGGUGACUUGUGGGGUUACUUCUCCACCAAGGAUCAUAAAAAUGUAAACUUUUCCUCUUUACUUUUGGAUCACUUUAUAUCAGUUGAAUUAGCUCACCUAAUGUGGAAAAAGAAAACAGUUCCUUGUCAGGCAAGAACUUGAGAGGAGAGAUUCCACCUGAGAUCAACCACAUGAGACAAUUGGAAGAGCUGUAAGUUCAUUGAGCAAUGAUCUUAUAUAUAUACUUCAUAAUAUGCACAAAAUUCCCAAAUCCAGUAAUUUCUUUCCUCAGGUGGCUGGAUGGGAACUUGCUCACAGGGCCAAUCCCAGACAUAAGCAAUCUUGUUAACCUUAAAAUCAUGUAAAAAGCUAGCUUUGAUCCAUUCAAUUCAUAAAGUCUCUGGCUUUCUGGUUAAGUUGGCUUACUUACACCUGUAAAAAUUGCAGGCAUUUAGAGAACAACAAACUCAGUGGUUCACUGCCAAAGUACCUAGCAAGCUUGCCAAACUUGCAUGAAUUGUGAGUCUCUAGAAUUCCUUGGCUAACUUUUCGGAGAACCGUUGCAUCCCCAUAACUCGUAAUAUUCACUAUUGACUUAACAUUCAAGUUUUUCUCAGAUGUGAACUUGUGGUGUAGGUACAUACAGAACAAUGGUUUCACUGGCAAUAUACCUCCAGCACUGCUGACUGGCAAAGUAAUCAUCAAGUGAGUCUUCUUUCUCCAUUUCAGUGGAAUGCAGAUUAUAAGGAAGUAAUUAAAGCACUCAUUCUAAAAGAAACCGUGAUGUUUUGUUUCGAUCUUUGCAGCUAUGAACACAAUCCAGGUCUGCAUAAAGAGGCAGAAAAGAAGCAGCACUUUAGAUUGGUACUUGGGAUCUCCAUUGGCAUACUUGCAGCACUAACACUUCUCCUUUUAGCAAGCCUGGUGUGCUUGCAGCGUCUUCGUCAAAAAAACUCUAGGCAAACAACUAAUGAACAAGGUGAUGAUCGCUUCAUACUUAAAUAAUUUUAAAUUACUUAGCUUUCUGAGAAAACCAUGGUUCAUUCUCCCCGUUUUACUUGAUCUUCAUGUUUCUUACAGAACUACUACCAGGUCACUCAAUGAGAACAAGUGCCAAGCUUUCAUCUGCCUAUUCUGUUUCAAGAGGUUGGCAUCUAACAGAAGAUGGAAUUUCAUACUUCAUCCCACUCUCCAAAAUCGAAGGAGCUACCAACAACUUCGCGAAGAAAAUCGGUAAAGGAAGCUUCGGGACAGUGUAUUAUGGCCAGAUGGAAGAUGGAAAGGAGGUAGCUGUCAAGAUCAUGGCUGAUUCCUGCACCAACCUGACACAACAAUUUGUCACCGAGGUAUCCAAUAACUCGAGUUGUUUGGUGAUGUUUAGAAUUGGUUUAUAUAAGUGGAUUUAUAUUAGGGGGUAAUAUGAUUCAAACUUCGGACCUUUUGGUCAAAGUAACUGAUACCAUGUCAAGGACCCUUACAUCCUAAUAUCUCUAAGUCAUGGGGAGAGAUUCAGAAUUGAUUUAUAUAACAAUAUUCCUUAACAAUGUCAAUGUCGGAAACCAACAGUAGAUUCAUUACGAAGUUUAAUGUCAAGUUGAAAAAUAAUGUUUGCAGGUAGCCUUGCUGUCAAGAAUUCAUCACAGGAACUUGGUUCCAUUAAUAGGAUACUGUGAAGAACAGAACCAAAGGAUCCUUAUCUAUGAAUACAUGCACAAUGGGACACUAAGAGAUCACAUCCAUGGUAUUUGCUCCAUUCUUUUGAAUCAUUCAUGUCAUGUUUAUUAUUUGUCCACCGGCAUCAAAAUCAAUGGUCCCAUUGUUGUAAUGAAGGUUCAGUUAAUCACAAGCGAUUAGACUGGAUGGCACGGCUACAGGUUGCUGAAGAUUCAGCUAAAGGUUCAGUUUAACCAGCAACCCUUAAAACUCCCACAAUGUACAUUCUUUGUUCCACAAGUUCAAACAACUUAUGUGUCUUAACUUGUUUUACAGGCCUCGAAUACUUGCAUACCGGGUGCAAUCCCAGCAUCAUACACAGAGAUGUGAAAACCAGCAACAUUCUGCUGGACAUCAACAUGAGAGCAAAAGUCUCGGACUUUGGUCUCUCGAGACAAGCUGAAGAGGACUUGACACAUGUCUCGAGCGUCGCACGUGGCACAGUCGGUUAUCUGGACCCUGAGUAAGCAUUUCUCAUUUGUCUGUGGACUAGCCAACACAAUAUUAGUGAAUUGCGUAAAUGUGAACAUUCGAGCUUCCGUCACAAACAGGUACUAUGCAAACCAGCAGUUGACAGAAAAAAGUGAUGUCUACAGCUUUGGUGUGGUACUUCUAGAACUCAUCUCAGGGAAAAAACCAGUGUCAACAGAAGACUUUGGUGCAGAACUCAACAUUGUCCAUUGGGUAUAUAUAUACGAAUCCUCAGAGAAAUAUUUCCAUCGACUCAGAAUCAUGAGUUUGUGUGACAUUUUAUCCAUGUUCUGUUGCCAGGCAAGGGCUCUGAUAAGAAAAGGGGAUGUAAUGAGCAUAAUGGACUCAUUACUGAUAGGGAAUGCAAAGAUUGAAUCAGUGUGGAGGGUAGCAGAAGUAGCAAUCCAAUGCGUCGAGCUCCGAUCGGUUUCAAGACCCAAGAUGCAGGAGAUCAUAGUGGCAAUACAGGAAGCUGUCAAGAUAGAGAAAGGGUUUGAUGGUAGACAGAAGCUUAUAGGCUCAGAUAGCUCCUCCACCAAGGGACAGUCUUCAAGGAAAACGUUGCUAACAAGCUUUCUCGAAAUCGAUCAAAGCCCGGACCUUUCCAAUGGUUCUGGCCUUGUCCCUUCUGCUAGAUGAAAUCAUUUUGACCUUCUGUUUGGUUACAUUUGGUUUUUAGAUAGGAGGAAAUGGUGAGGGAAACUGUUAGGGAAGUACCUAUCUCACUCUUUUUUAAGUGAUGUCGAGAUAUUUUUGCCACGGUAGGCUAGUUUGGCCUAUUUCUCGAUACCUUUUGUGUCAAGUUAACUAUCGAUACGAUAAUAUAGAUGCUAUAAGCUGCAAUUAUGAGUUGUUGAAUUGAAUUAACAUAGAUAAGCCCUUUUCAAAGACAAUAUAAUUGAACAUCGGCAGUCAAAAAGGUCAUAAAAUCUUACUGUCAACUGUGUACGCACUCACUGCUUCCUUCUCUUAUUCCCUUCAGCGCCAGUUUUCUUAAACCCUUUGAAACCAUCAUCAGUAGUAUCAGCAGUGUUCUGCUUCUUCAUCCCUUUCCUCCCACCGAACCCGAAUUUCGAGUCUUUCCUGUCCCUCUUCAUCACCUUCUUAUCCGGCUUGCUCUUCAAUGACUUCCUCCCCUUGCCACCCGACCUGUCCCCAUGACCCACCCCGGGAUGUUGCUUGUUCGACUUCUCAAACGGCUUCUUCCCCACUUCUCCGAGAUCCAAAUCGAGCUCAUCGUUCUCGCCAGGAGCAAACCCACUUUCCUGACUUUGCUUCCUCGAAUUCUUAACUGUCUCAAUCUCUCCUUUCUUCUGUGAAGCUCGCUCCUUCUGCUUCUGCGCUUGAACCUCCUUUGAGAGAUUCUUAGCCUCCCUGGCUUUCCUUCUCUCUUCGGCUUCCUCCGUGUUCCUCUUCUCCGCCAGGAGCCGGUUCUUGAUCUUCACCAUAUGGGCGUCCGACUUCCCCAUUUCAGCGUGGUAAUCGGGGGGCCUUAAAAAGGGUAGCCCCAUCGUCUCGAACUUCUCGAACGCCCUCCUCGUGCCUUCCAAUGCCUGCAUGUAGAAUGCUGUCUCGCGAGUGAGGUCGUCGUUCACAUCAACUUCUUGCUCCUGGUUGAUCUCGAGGGAGAGUUUGUGGAUCCAACCUGCAUGAUCCGGCCAGCUGAUCUCUUGUAGCUUGUCGUUGAGACCGUCUCUGUUGAAUAUCGCGUCCGUGGAAGGGACGUCCAAUUUCACGUCACCUUCCUGAUCUGAGUCGGACGAAGAAUCACCGCUGAAUUCUUUGUUAUCUUCAUAAGCUACAUCAUCGUCAUCUUCUAUUAGAUCCUCGUCUUUCAUAACUGAAACUGGUUUUGGUGCCGCCAGCCAUUCAAAUGAACCUGCACGAGACAGAGAUAUAAGAACGUAUUCAGUCGUAAAUCCUCAAUGAACAAAGAGAGCCAUGGAUUAACACCCGAAUAUGCAAAAAAAAAAUCAGAAAGAAACCAGUACAGAUCAAAUGCAGAUACAGAAGACAUUCGAUUAGUUUGUUAAUCAAAGAACAAUAACACGUCGUAAUUGAUAAAUUACCAACAAUAUUUCAACUAAUGGAGCCAUUCUUCAGGGUUAACCAUGUCAACCGAUGAUAGAAGCAACUAACAAUAAGAAUGCAAUUAGAGAUACUGAAGAGUGACAACUCAGCAGCAGAAAGUUCACCUAUCACUAGAACAGAACCGUGUAAGUAAAUUGCUCCAGCAUCCAGAAACUGAUUCUAUCACUGGAAAUCGCAGAGUCGAAGAUGAUUUCACGUGUAAGACAUUUAUAGAAACGAUUCAGGCAAAGCUAGAGUUUAUCCCCGAGGGGAAGAUGAAUAAUCCGCUGGAGGAGUGAAUGAGAUAAUAGUCGAUUGAGGACUGUACCUGGUGGUUCGCGACGGGGAGAUUGCGGAAGCAGGUGACAAAUGGAGCUUCAAGAGUCGGAAAGAGGGGUUUAUCGUUCUUGGUAGCGUCAAUUUAGGGUUUUACUAGCAGGGCAAAUUUGUGUUUUCCUUUUUAAGGGGGGGAUAAAAAUGUCAAUACGGGGCCACACGUGUGACACUUCCUACCCGAAUAACUCGGUGUUCUGACUCGAGAAAAGUAACUUAAAAUUCAGCUACUAUUAAAUGAGUUACACUAUUUCCAUCUCAUAAAUUAUUUAGUGAUUUCUAAUUAGCUACACACUAUUACAUCACCAAUUUUGUCAAUGGACUCAUUAAGCAAAGUAAUAUAUUUAAAAAUAUGUUCCAAUAUGCUCGUAUAUGUCGUCAUAGCUACGACUCGAUUGCUGAACUCGAAAAUUGUAGAAAAUUGAACUAUCUUAAAAGUUUAAUUUACAGAGACUUUUGAACUCAAAAGUUGUAGAAAAUUAAACUAUCUUUCCAACGGCGCCGGUCUUGCAUCAAUCGGACUUCUGAGGUAGGAGAUAUGUCCAAAAUACGAAAUUACGACGUUUUCCGACCAAGUUGAACGUACUGAGUUAUUUCGGCCACCUCGUCAUGUCUUGGUUCAUUUCUAAACGUCAUCUGACACCUGAAAUGUACCAAAAUUAUAUCAAACACCAUAACACGGCCACGAGAGCAAAAGAAUCAAACAUGUACUCAAAAUCCUGAAUUUGAAUACAUUUCGACACACAAAAAUAUAGUUUAUAGCGAGAAAAAAUGUAUCGAAAAUACAACACAUCAUAUUUAUACGACAUUGCUAAUUUAACAAUCUUUUUUAUUAACAACCGCCUUUAUAUCCUUAAUAAUUGUUAAGUGGAGUGUCAAAUCACCAUCCAUUUCAUUUAACCAUUGCUAAAAGAUAAAGAUGGGAUGCUCUUAGUUUCAAUAUAGAUAAACAAGUCAACUUGAAGCCAAUAUAGGUUUGGCUUCGGCAGGCUCGAUUAAGAUAGUUUAUAACUCGACUUGACUCGAUUAGUGAAUCACGAGAUUGCUAAGGUCGAUUACGAGCUUAUUUUUUUAUCCUAUAAAAAUGUUAACACUAAGUUAACUCUAUGUAAAUUUGGUUGAUCCAAGCUUCGGCCUUUAGUUUUUAUUUUAGAAUGCAGUCGAUUCGGUUAUAAUUUAUAAUGAUUAUCAAGCCUCGUACCUAACACAAGGAGACAACCAUCAACAUCAAACAUCCCAAGAGACCAUUUCCAAUGAAAACUUUACUAGCAAGUUUCCUUGAGAUUUGAUCAAAGGUCUGACCUUUUCAAUGGUCAUGGCAUCAUUCAUCUUCUGUUUCGUUACUCUCCCAACCACUAUGAUGAAAAAUUGUACAUUUGGUUAUUAGAAUAUGAUAUAAAAGGCAGGCAAGUACUAUAGCAAAGUGUCCAUCUAUAACCAACAAAAAAACGUAACUGACCGAUUACAUUAUGUACGUAUGAUGUUCGGAUAUUUUGUAGACUUUUAAAUUGGAAUGAAUUUCAAUAGAAUUUCAUCACUUUAGAACUGAAAGGACUCUACAAUAAUGUAAAUUCUCUUUUUGAUUCUGCCAUUGAACUGAAAAUGGUCAUAGAGCUUACGGUUUUUGUCACUAAAAUUUUAAGUUUUUUUGGUAUUAUGAUCGAAAAGUCGAUGGCCAUAACUCCGAUAUGAGAUGUACUAUCCUCACUAGGAUGGUUGUUACCCAAAGUCACAAUUAGGAGAAGGGAUAUCAACUACGACAAAACGGUUGUAAGUCUUCAAUUCAUUUUUAGGUUCUUCUUCGCAAUUUGCUGCGUCCAACAUGCCUUGUGACAGUCCCCGUGGAGUAGUGUAGUUAGUUAUGUUGUAUAUUGACAAUCUAGAGGUCUUAAAUUCGAAUUCAUCAUACUUUUUUUGUAUGUAAACUCUAGUAUCCGACCCACCAACCGACUAAUCCAGUCGAAGAUAGUCUCGGAGUUAAGAUUUUACUCCUCUCCCAACGUUGUUGCGGGGCAUCAAACCUUGGUGAAUUCAACACACUUUAUAUAUGGAUACCGACAUAUUUCUUUUCUUUUUCUUUAUCUCUUAAAAAACAUUUCUUAUGAUAAUAACAAAUUAGAUGUAGUAGUAGGUUUGAGUUUGGUGAAUAUCUAACUUAAUUAUAUUCUAUAUAUGUUUCCCAAGUUCAUGUUCUUUCUAAUUCUAUAAUAUUUGAAGUGAUCCAUAAUAUAUGGAGACUUGAUCUUUGCAUUCAAAUGUUGUAUUAUUUUAUUAAACAUUGUAACUUGCUAAACAAGUAAAGUAAACAACCUUAGCUAAAUCAUAUGACCCCAUAAUACAUAAUCCAUUAUAAAAAUAUUUGACACCCUAUAAUAUAAUUAUUAUGAUUAAUGAUUAUUACUAAUUCUUUUUUCAUAGUGAUUAUUAUUACAAGGAAACUUGAAUGAUUGUAUUUGUCCUACCACCCUACAAUAAUCAAUUUUUUUAAAACAUCCAACUUCAUUUAUCAUGCCUAGAGUUAUACACUUAUAUAUAGCNNNNNNNNNNNNNNNNNNNNNNNNNNNNNNNNNNNNNNNNNNNNNNNNNNNNNNNNNNNNNNNNNNNNNNNNNNNNNNNNNNNNNNNNNNNNNNNNNNNNNNNNNNNNNNNNNNNNNNNNNNNNNNNNNNNNNNNNNNNNNNNNNNNNNNNNNNNNNNNNNNNNNNNNNNNNNNNNNNNNNNNNNNNNNNNNNNNNNNNNNNNNNNNNNNNNNNNNNNNNNNNNNNNNNNNNNNNNNNNNNNNNNNNNNNNNNNNNNNNNNNNNNNNNNNNNNNNNNNNNNNNNNNNNNNNNNNNNNNNNNNNNNNNNNNNNNNNNNNNNNNNNNNNNNNNNNNNNNNNNNNNNNNNNNNNNNNNNNNNNNNNNNNNNNNNNNNNNNNNNNNNNNNNNNNNNNNNNNNNNNNNNNNNNNNNNNNNNNNNNNNNNNNNNNNNNNNNNNNNNNNNNNNNNNNNNNNNNNNNNNNNNNNNNNNNNNNNNNNNNNNNNNNNNNNNNNNNNNNNNNNNNNNNNNNNNNNNNNNNNNNNNNNNNNNNNNNNNNNNNNNNNNNNNNNNNNNNNNNNNNNNNNNNNNNNNNNNNNNNNNNNNNNNNNNNNNNNNNNNNNNNNNNNNNNNNNNNNNNNNNNNNNNNNNNNNNNNNNNNNNNNNNNNNNNNNNNNNNNNNNNNNNNNNNNNNNNNNNNNNNNNNNNNNNNNNNNNNNNNNNNNNNNNNNNNNNNNNNNNNNNNNNNNNNNNNNNNNNNNNNNNNNNNNNNNNNNNNNNNNNNNNNNNNNNNNNNNNNNNNNNNNNNNNNNNNNNNNNNNNNNNNNNNNNNNNNNNNNNNNNNNNNNNNNNNNNNNNNNNNNNNNNNNNNNNNNNNNNNNNNNNNNNNNNNNNNNNNNNNNNNNNNNNNNNNNNNNNNNNNNNNNNNNNNNNNNNNNNNNNNNNNNNNNNNNNNNNNNNNNNNNNNNNNNNNNNNNNNNNNNNNNNNNNNNNNNNNNNNNNNNNNNNNNNNNNNNNNNNNNNNNNNNNNNNNNNNNNNNNNNNNNNNNNNNNNNNNNNNNNNNNNNNNNNNNNNNNNNNNNNNNNNNNNNNNNNNNNNNNNNNNNNNNNNNNNNNNNNNNNNNNNNNNNNNNNNNNNNNNNNNNNNNNNNNNNNNNNNNNNNNNNNNNNNNNNNNNNNNNNNNNNNNNNNNNNNNNNNNNNNNNNNNNNNNNNNNNNNNNNNNNNNNNNNNNNNNNNNNNNNNNNNNNNNNNNNNNNNNNNNNNNNNNNNNNNNNNNAGAGGAUUAAUAUUCGAUAUCCAAUAUUCACUUUUGAAAGGAAGUUGAAAAGUAACGAUUAAACAAAUUUUAAAUUUUAAAUAAUCAACAUUAGAUAUAACGACGGUUAACGAAUAUAUAUAAAAUUGAGCUUAACAUUCUUUAAGCAUUCAAUUGGAUUGGGGAAAAUGAACUUCAACCAAUGAAAAGUGGCAAAGCAUCGUAGGGGAAAUAAAUAAAUAAACGCUGAAUAUUAAAUAAUUCCAGUGGAAGAUUGUAAAAAUAAUAAGCAAUGUAGUAAAGAUUAAACCUAUGUAUUUACAUAUGCACACGUUCUUUAAAUGGAUAUAAAUAUUGGCAAAUCUAGAAUUCGAAACAAUGGUGUGCCUAAUUUAGAAAAAACAUAAGUAUGAAAUAAAUGAUAAAAACGGUAAUAGUGGAGUUAAAACCGAUAUCUUUUACGGAUAUAAUUUCCUCAUAGUUGGCGGUUCUAUCGUACGCGAGAUUAUCCGGUUGUUGGCGUCUUCAUAUUGUUUGCCGGUUAGGUAAUGGGGCCCACCUAGCCCAUUUAGUGACACAUCUAAUAAGGUGUAUUAGGUAGUCAUCACUUCCUCAUAGAUGGUUAGGGUUGCUUGAUUUUUAUCUUUUUGUCUCCAAAAAAAACUAUAUGAGCCAUACAAAAAAAAUUAAUCUCUUAAUUGCCAACACAUAACACUACCAAUUACAUUAUUCCGAAUGAAAUUUCAACCAAAUUUGAUUUUUUUUUUUUAACGUUGGACUUCUUAUUCAUCGAUUGGAUGGAAAACUGAACAAAUUAAACAAGCCAGCCAGCAGAGAGCAACCUUGAAAGCUCCAUCGAGUCAAUUGAAUCCAACCCUCAUUGAAGAAACCGUUUUGGUUCUUCUUUUAUUUUUUAUUUUUUUUGAAUAAGCUUCUUCUUCUUCUAUUCUGCAAUAAAAUCAACAAAAAACCAAACCAAAAAAAGGGUUGAAGCGAAAACCAAAGAUAUAUGUGACAGUGAGGGUGGGGUGAGUCAGUGUUGUUUCAGAGAGAGAGAGAGAGAGAAUCCACUUUCCCCAUUUCCUUCCCCACUAUAUUAUUAUUAUCUUCCCAAUUAAUCUUCCUCUGCUCUAUCCUGUUUGUGUUGUUUUCUAUGAGAGGAAAGAAAGAAAGAGAGGGCAAGCAAGGAAAUGAAGGAAGAGUUUGGUAGGUCUUUUAAAUUAAUGGGGAUGGAGAUGAUGUAUUUGGAGUUGGGGAGGUCCUCUUCUUACCAGGACUCCCUCAAAGUUCUUGAAGCUGAUAUUCAGUAUGCUAAUACUCUGUAAGUGUAUCAUCUUACUUUACCUUUUUAGGGGGUUUGGUUUAUCUGGAAGUGGGUUGUGUUCUUGAAAUGAUUAAAAAGCUCUCUUAUUUAUCAAGCUUGCUUCUUGCCCUUUGUUCUUCAUUUCUGUGGGAUUUUCAAGUAUAUGGAUUUUCCAUUCCCCCAUGGGUUUGGGUUCUAUGUUGAUUCUAUGAUGUGGGUUGUGUUCUAAAUCCUGGUUGUUGCAUCUGGUCUUGAUUUCUGUACGAUUUUUCAGUGGCCAUGAUCAAAGUUGGAUUCUUUUUUUCUUGCUAAAUUGAUGGGGAAACAAAAGACGGUUACUUCUCUUUUUUCAGAGUUCGUGGCACACGAUUGACUUAGCAACCGUGUCUAUGUCAGUUGUUGGGUCCGUAAAAUCAGCUGGAUGUUUCUAGGUCUUAUCCAAAGUCAGUUACAUGUUGAGUUUGUUGAGUUACAUGUUACUGGUUAAUUGGUUGCUGAGUUUAUCAAGUUAAUCAUGAUCACAAAUAGGUGAAAUCACUCAAGCUCCACUUGCAGCCAGCUAAAGUUGGUUGCUUUUGCCAAAUUUUAGGAUCCUAUCAAAAUGAUGAAACUCUCAAAUCUUGACCUAAACCAACACCAAUUGUUGUUUAAACUCUUUCAUAUGUUUUAUUUCACAGGGCUGCUGAAAUCCCUAGAGGGAAAGGUGGUUCAUAUCUUCAAAUGAAGCUAGUCUACAAUCAAUGGGCUCCCUUUUUCUUGUUCUUGCUUCAGAGGAUAGAUUCCUCUUGCGUCUGUUUACUCCCUAGAUAUCUCAAUCUCUUCCACGUCCUUGUUUACAAGGUAAAUGUAAUGUCAAUGACCAAAUGAUUCAUGGUUUAUAGUUGUUAUUGUUGUUGUUGUCUUUGCUCAUUUGAAAUGUCGUUUCUGUAGGUUCACGACAGCAUAUCGCGGGUUUCUGCUCAUGGAAGGAAAGCAACAGUCAAGGAGUUCUAUGGUAUGGCCGAUCCCAUGAAGAAUUCGAUGCCUUUUAUGUGUCUUGCAUGUUUUGUGCUUUGGAUGAUGUUGUGAUGUACAAAUUCACUUGCCACAUUGUUUAGGUGUCAUCUUACCUUCCCUUCAAAGGAUUCACAGCAACUUAGAUGAAUUCAAUAUGGUGCUAGAUGUUAAGCAAGGGGUUCGAGCAAUCGAGAGCUCAAAAGUAAAGAAGAUGGAUGGCGAUCAUAAGCUUAUAAGCAUCGAUCUGGAGAGGGAAGAUGAAUGUGGCAUCUGCUUGGAGCCUUGCACCAAGAUGGUUUUGCCUAAUUGUUGUCAUGCAAUGUGCAUCAAGUGCUACCGCAAUUGGUAAAAUGCCCCGAAGAUCUUUGAGCCAAUCCUUUUGUGCAUUACUGCUGGUAUGAUCGCACCCUUGACAUUUUUAUGAUGUUAUUUUCUUCGGCAGGAACACGAGGUCGGAGUCGUGUCCAUUCUGUCGCGGAAGCUUGAAGAGAGUCAACUCAGAAGACCUAUGGGUACUCACUUGCAACAAUGAUGUGGUUGAUACUAUGCAGGUUACGCGGGAAGACCUCUUGCGAUUCUAUCUGUACAUCGAUCGCCUGCCAAAAGACUACCCGGAUGCGCUCUUCUUAGUGUACUAUGAGUAUCUACUCUGAGUCUUGAUGGAUUGAAUUGGAUCAAAUGAUGUACAGAGGGGGUUUCGCAAAUGCUGCCGACCAGAUCAAAUGUAAAUAGAGUCCGGUAUGGUGCAGCCUUGUGUGAUUCGUCCAUGAAGUCCCAACUUCGUAUCGGAGAACCAGAGGCAAAAUGCAGACCAUCACCUUGUGUUCUGCUUCUGUAAUUUGUUAUUGAUGAGAGAGCUGCCCUUCAAAUGCUUUCAUGGAGAGUUUGGCUUAUAUUUAUCAAUUGUAAUGGCAACAUUUGAGCCUCUUCUGAUCCCAUGACGGAUGCUCAAGUUAGUAUAUUGUUUCAGAGUUUGGAUGUCUGGCUUGUGUUUUUACCUUUUUCUGUGGUGGCUGCGGAUUUGAAUUGUUUGCAUCUUCAACAUUCAAACCUGUAAAUGCUCACAAUAAAAACAUUCCUUCUCAAAAGUGGGUAUUGUUUCUCCAGUAACCAAGUUUUGGAUGGACCCAAUGGGUUUGAUUUCUUGUCCAAAACCCCCUUUGUUGUACUUGUUUCGAGUUUGGGUCUUGGGUUAUGGCCUAAUGGUUUUGUACUCCGUUUCAUACUCUGAUUCGAGUUCAAGGGUCCAUGGACCCUGAUAUUUUCAAGGUUCAAUCACAUUCCUCUAAUGACUAAAGCUAGUUGAGUCCUUGCAUAAUUGAGGUCCUUCCACCACCGGUGAAGCGAUCUGAGUGAACCUGUCUAGUGAAUUCUAAUGAGAUUGGUUGGAGUGGGAACCUCGUAGAUAAAAGAGUGUCAGUAUAUGGCUAAGCGUUUAUAGAAAGACAUUGGGGAUGCCCUUAAGGAGACUAAAUGUGUGCACGGGGUAGUAUUGUGUUGUCCUUUGAAUAAUGAUCACAUACUUCUUUUAUAACAUCUUGAUAUUUUGAGCUUAUCAUCUUAAAAUUUUCUCUGAUUCCUGAAAAUGUCUAGGAUUGCCUAUGACUUGUCAAGCAUUACUGAGAACCGAUUCCAUAAGAACAACUGAAUUCGACCCAUUGGUCUAACUGACGAUUGUCCAACUCCUUAAGGACAACUGAGUCUGACCCAUUGGUCUAACUAGCGAGAGGGUCUAAGAUAAUUAAGAUCAUACUAAUACAAUCUCAAAAUAAAUUGUUAAUAAUGUCUAAAUUAUUUUAUUUGAAAUAAAUUCUAUAGAGUGGUCUGAUUCUUAGAGUGGUAUGAGAUCCCUUGCCAAUAUUUCUCUAAUUUUUUCAUCAUGGUAAAAAUAAAAAAUGCGUGACGUGGAAAUUGGAGCAAAAUCCAGUGCUGGAAUCAUUGCAGCUUUUAUAAACCAUCAUUCUGAUCACCGUCAGAUUGAGCUCAGAAGUAUACACUUCAGCCCAUCACUCGCCGUUGAUUUUAAUUUCUUCUCAUUCUUUAAUUUCCCUGUCUUAACUCUUAAUCACACAACACAAGUCACGAAAGAUCCCAAUCGUCUUCUCGUUUCUAGGGAUUCUGAUCUUCCGCCAAUUUGAAGAUUUCUGGCGGGUAAAUGUGGUAGAGCAAAAAUGUCCGGCGGCAUAGACGGCGAACACGAGCCCUUUACCGGCGAGCAGGAUGAAGCCGGCGAAGGCGAAUCAAUCCAAGGAGCUGAUGCAAAUCUUGAAACUCCGACCGAUCAGGUACCUAAUCAUUUUCAAUGCUUUGUAGGGUGACCCGUUUUCAUUCCGUUAGAUUUGCUGAGUGAGAGCGAAAUGCAGGGAGAAGAUUUGUUUCGGACUCCGGUUGUGGAGAGCAGGGAUGACAUGUUCGUCGAUGCAACUGGUGACGACGAUGUUCACGACGGUCAGUUCCAGUUGCCGGAGAAUGGAAAUGGUUCGAAGGAUGAGUCGGAGAAUGGGUGGAAGGUAGUUUUUUACUUUGGUGUACUCUGUAUGUUUGGAUGUUUAUGAACUGUUUGAUUUGUAUGGGUAAUGAAUUGAAUUUGAUGUUCUGACUUCAGGAGGAAAGGGAGGGAUUUGUUAGGGAAGUUGCUGGUCUGCGAAAGGAGCUGAGAGGUUUUGUCGAUGGACGGUUAGUGGAUGACGAUCAAAGUGAGGAGUCGUUGCGGGAGAUGGUUAAUGAGUGCUCGAAUUCGGUUAAAUUUGCUUUAGAGCAGAGGCUAGAGGACGAGACGAGGAUGGAUGAACUUCAUAAAGACAUUGAAGAGUUGAAUGUGAAGGUUCAAGGGGAUCAGAAUGUGGAGGUUGUCGUGGAUAGGUUGAUGUCAUUGCUUGGUACGGUGGCUAAUCCAGUAGACAUGAUGGAUGAUUCUGUUCUUGGGAAAAUUGGUUAUGUUGAAAGAAGUGCUGUGAUGUUGAUGGAACAAAAUAAAGCGAUUCUGCAUGAGAUCCAUCAGUUUAGAAAAUCUAUAUACGAAGGAGGUUCAAAUGUGGGUGAAGUAGACGGGGAUGGCGAGUGGAGGCCGUUUCUAGCAACUGUUAAAGCCGAGAUUCUGGACCUGAAGAUGAAAGAGGUGGUUAUGGUGGAGAAAAUGGCCCAUUUAGUGGAUCAAAACAGGCGAUUGGUACUGGAGUCGGAAAAGGCAGCUUCUUCAGAGCUGGAAAGGGUGAAAGAAGAACUUGAGCGUGAAAAGGAUAGGAGUGCUAAAACCAAAGAAAAGCUUAGUAUGGCCGUGACAAAGGGGAAGGCACUGGUUCAACAGCGUGAUUCGUUGAAGCAAUCUCUGGCCGAGAAGGCUAGCGAGCUUGAAAAAUGUUUGACGGAGUUGCAAGAGAAAACAAGUGCAGUUGAAGCAGCUGAGCAUUGUAAGGAGGAACUAGUUAAGCGUGAAAAUUUGGUGUCAUCAUCGCAGAACUCUCUCUCUCAGAGGAAUGCAAUACUUGAAAGCAUUGAAGCGAUAGUGGCACAGACUUCUAUAUCUGAAGAUCUUCAACCAACAGAUCUUGAAGGGAAGGUGAGGAGGAUUGUAGAUCAGGUGGGUUCAUUGCAGGAAAGUAUAUCACAGCAGACAGUUGUGGUUAAUAAUAUUGAAGAAAUUCUUUGUCAGACAACUGUCCCCGAGGAACUAAAAUCGGCAGAUAUUAUUGUGAGACUGAAGUGGCUUUUAGAUUUAGCUAUAUCACUAAAGGAUACAAUAGCUCAAAUAAGUUUACCUGAGGAGGUUCAGUCAGAGGAUAUGGUUGGAAAAUUGAAAUGGCUUGCCGAGGACAGGAGUAAAAUUUCCAGUGAUUUGCUUGAAUUCCAGAAAUUGAAAGAUGCCUUAAGUCUUAUUGAUAUGCCAGAAGCUGUCUCUUCCUCCGAUUUGGUUGCUCAAAUAGGUUGGCUUAAGGGAUCAGUUGACCAGGCAAGAGAUGCAAUAAACAUGCUGGAUGAUGAAACUGCGAAAGCGAAGGAAUCUGCCAGAAAUAAUCUGGACCAGUUGACUGCUUCAAUUGCAGUCGAAAUCCAAGAAAAGGAGCUUCUGAAGGCUGAACUAAAUGAACUAAUGGGUAAGCAUGAAGAGAUGGUGGAAAAGGAACGUCAAGCUUUGUCAGAUAGAGAUCAGAUAAUGAAGAUGCUGGUAGAAGUUACUGGAGUCGAAACAGACGGUUUAGAAGGGUCCUAUCCUAGUUACUCUGAUGUAAGCAUGCUAGUCGGGAGAUGCUUAGAAAAGAUAAAAGAAAAGAACAAUGCUUCAGUUUCUGUUUCUCCUGCUGAUGCUGAGGUCUAUCAUAAUAUGCAAAGCCAUUUAUAUGUCAAGGAUCAAGAAUUGACGCUCUGUAAGACACUUCUUGAGGAGGAUGAGUUGGUGAGAUUACAUGUGCAUAAUCUAUCAGAUUCCCUUAGAACAACAUCUCAGGAGCUUGAAACAUUGAGUUCGGAAAAAGAAUCUAUAAAGAAUGAUCUCAACAGAUCAGAAGAAAAAUGUGCCUUACUAAGGGAGAAGCUUUCCUUGGCAGUUAAGAAAGGCAAGGGGUUGGUGCAGGAUAGAGAAAAUUUGAAACUUCUUAUGGAUGAAAAGAAGUCUGAAAUUAAAAAGUUGAAUCUUGAGGUACAGCAGCAGGAAUCUGUGGUUGGUGAGUGCAGGGAUCAGAUAAACCGGUUAUCUACUGAUUUGGAGCGAGCCCAGAAUCUGGAAGCUGAUCUUGCUGCUGCAAAAGAUCAAAGAGAUCAGUUCCAGCAGUUAUUAUCGGAGAGCAAUAAUAUGCUGCAUAAAGUAAUGGAGUCUUUUGACCACAUUACUCUUCCUAUUGGUUCCAAUUUGGAUGAACCUGUAGGGAAGAUGAAGUCAUUUGCAGACUACCUCAGCGAGUGCCAAGUGGCUAAGACUCAUCUAGAGCAAGAACUAGACAAAAUUAAGGAAGAACAUACUGUUUUGACUAGUAAGUUGGCAGAAUCCCAGCAAAAUCUAAAAUCUGGAGAAGAUGCAUUGUCUGAUGCAGAGAAUCAGAUUUCGGAGCUAGCAGAUGAAAAGAGAGCACUAGAGGCUGCAAAGGAGAAUGUAGAACUAGACUUGCAAAAGGCUUUAGAUGAAGUGAAUGCACGAACUAGCAAGGUCACUGAGGCUAAUGCAGCUAGAAGCUCACUUGAAGAUGCAUUGUCGUUGGCAGAGAAUAACAUUGUGGUCCUUGUUAAAGAAAGAGAAGAAGCUCUAAUUAGCAAGGCUGCUGUUGAAGCCGAUUUAGAAACUGUAAGAGAGGAAGUAGAUAUUCAGUCUGAAAAAUUGACGGAUGCAUACAGAUCUAUGAAGUCUCUGGAAGACACACUCUCUGAGGCGGAAACCAAGGUAGCUUCACUGACUGAAGAAAAUAAUGAUUUCCAGGCUGUCAGAACCCAAUUGGAGAAUGAGCUAAAGAAACUGAAAUAUGAAGCUGAGUCCCAUGUACGUAAGCUUGAAGAUACCACUUCAACCAUUAAAUCAUUGGAAGAUGCUUUGUCAAAGGCUAUGAAUGACAAUUCUGCACUUGAAGAUGACACAAUCAGACAACAUUUUGAGAAGCAAUAUCAAAAUCUCAACAGUAUGGAUCUCAUACUCAACGACUGUUUUGCUAAUGGAGAUUCACAGAUGCUGCAAAUUUCUCCUAUCAUGGUAAGUAAUUACGUGUGAUCUUUCUGUUCAAUGUCGAUCUUUUUCUCUCCCGUAGUUUAAUGCUUUUAUCUCACUGCUAUCUUUCAACAUCAGGAUGAAUCACAUGCAAGAAAAGCUUUCCCACAUGACACUGGUAGUACUAUAAGUGCUGAAAUGGAAACUGGUGACGUUGUUUCAGCUGAUUUGGACAAUGUUUCGUUGUACUUUAAAAAGUUUAGUGAUGGCUUACAGCUGAGGAACAAGAUCCUGACUGAGAAUUUUGAAGGACUUUCGAGCUUCACAGAUGAAUUUGCUGAAGUUCUGCACAGCAAAUUAAGGGUAAUAAAGGAUGCUAUAAUUCUUGCCCGUGAGCGGAUGGAGUCGAUGAAGCAGAAGAUGAUAGACAUGGAAACUAGUAAAGAAGAACAAGAUAGAGCCUUUGCCUUGUUAGAAAAAGAGCAUAAAGUUCUCCUCUCUGCAUGUGUCAACGCUACAAGUGAACUGCAGUUUGAAUCUGUAAACGGUCUGAUGGACCUGAAGUCUGUUCCUGAGCUUGAGAAGUUGAACCAGCUGUUUCAGUUGGACAAUAAUAAUACAGAAAAUCGGACAAUGGAGGAGGACAGUGAAGACAUCAAGAUGGUAGAAAAGUUGUUAUCAGCUACGAGAAAGGUUCGGAACCAGAUUAGAUUGUUUGAACGUACGAGUGAAGUGGCAGCUGCUGUGAUAGAGGAUCUGCAGAACAAAAUGGAGACCAGUGCAGGAACUUCUGAAAACGUCCUAAGAGAAAGGGAUAUACUUCAAAGUAAGGCUGUGGAGUUGGAGAUGGAAGUAGGAGCACUGCAAAACUCGUGCCAGCAGCUGAGGGCCGAACUCGAAGACCAUGAAAGCAUCCAAAGCGAAAGGGACCUACUUCAGAGUAGGAUUGCAGAGCUGGAGGCUGAUGUAGAAGCAUCUCAAAAUUCAUGCCUGCAGUUACGAGCUGAGCUAGAGGACUACAAUGACUCGGAGAAGAAAUUGCACCAAAAAGAAGUAGAGCUUUCAACGUUACAAAGCAAUUUGUUGAUGAAAGAACAAGGUAUACGUCUUCCUAGACCGUGGCUUAAUUUUUAGAACUUUCAAUUGCUUUACCAAGGGCAGACCUUUACUAACUAGUUUGUUCAUUGUUCUCUGCUCCAGAAGCCACAGACGCUCUUAUGUCAACAUCAGAACUGAGAACUCUCUUUGACAAAAUCCGUAGAAUCAAAAUGUUUAAUUCAGGGUCAGAAUUAGAAUCAGUUGGAUCACAUACUUCAUCUGAUGUGAAUAAACUAUUUUACGUAGUUGAUAGUGUGGUACAAUUACAGAAUCAAAUAAAUGCAUUAGCUUCGGAGAAAGAUCAGCUACAGUCAGCGUUAUCCAAGCAGAUUCUUGAAAUUGAGCUUUUGAAGGACGAUGUUCAAAGUCAUUCCAGAAACCAACAGUAUGUAGAAACGAUGAAGGAUGAAAUUUCUGAGAUAACCGUUGGCUUGGAGAAAAUACUUGAUGUUUUCGGAGGUGAUGAAGUUGUUUCGGAUAAAAAACCUGGCAGUGCAAGUAGGCUUUUGCAGCUGUUGGAAAAGCAGGUGAAGGCAUUGUUCUUAGACGCUGAGAAUGCCAAGUCCCACGCUCAGGAGCUUGGUAACAGGUUGCUUGAGAGCCAGAAGGUGGUGGAUGGAUUGUCAACUAGGGUCAAAGUGCUUGAAGAUUCUGAUCGAAGUAGAAGUACAGCACAACCUGAGAUUUUCCAGGAAAUGAGUAUGUUUGAAGCUCCAUCUCCACCAAGUGGCUUGGAGAUAUCCGAAGCUGAAGAUGCUGUAAGUUUCCUAUGAUUAUUUUCAUGGCUACAAAAGUGACUCAAGAUUUUCAACAACGUUAGAGAAAUUAGUUGAACCAUUUCUGUACUCGGUUCUCAAAUGCUCUUCUGCAGGGCUCCAUCGGGAAGAACCCUCCGGCUCCAGUCCCGAAAGCUGCUCACGUAAGAACGAUACGAAAGGGAGGAUCGAGUGACCAUCUCGCAAUCAGCAUCGACUCAGAAUCCUCCACUCUCAUCAACAAGGAAGAAACUGACGAGGAAAAAGGUUUGCAUCGCAAUUAUGCCUUUUUCUCACUAGGGAAUCGUUCUUCAAACUCAAAAGGAAAGUAAGAACAUCCUUUUGUUGUGCAGGUCAUGCAUUCAAGUCUCUCAACACAUCUGGUCUCAUCCCCAGGCAAGGGAAGUCGGUCGCAGACCGAGUUGACGGAAUAUGGUAAAAAACCCCUAAACCAAACUGCCUGUAGUAAAGUAGUAUUCCUUUUACUAAGCCUGAUGAAGUGACUUGAGUUGUAACAAAAUGGUGGAAAAUUGCAGGGUAUCUGGUGGUAGGAAUCUAAUGAGUCGUCCAAGAGCAAGACUUGGCUUGAUUGCCUAUUGGCUUCUCUUGCACAUGUGGCUAUUAGCCACCAUUUUGUAAACGUCAAAACAACAGGAAGAAGGAGCUGCAAUUUGGAAGCUACCUGUACAUCAUAGUUAGAACUAUACAUGAUGAUCAACGACGACGAUGAAUCGAAUAGAUGAUGGUUUACCCCGGGGGAGGCUAGGUCAUGGCCUGAGAAAGUAUUCCCCAAUCCGAAACUACACAUGAUUUUUUGACUAUUGUAUUUGGCUUUCUAAGUUUUCUUCAAGGGUUCUUUCUUGAUCUGCUAUAUAAUCAAGUUGUUGGUCAUCAGUUUGCUCUCUGCAAGUCAUGUUUUAGGGCUUCCUGCAGAGGAAUUAGCAAAGAAGGUGGAAAAGGUUAAAUUUGUUAUCUGUGUUUGAUUGUUUGUACGAGAUACAACCGAUGAAUUUUUUUUCCUAAAACUGUGAAUUGUUCAAGUUCCAGUUCUGUCUCAGUCAGAAUCAGUUACUUACUUGUCAAUGACGUAGAUAAUACAAAUAAAAAGUUAAAAUCGAGAAAUGAGUUUAGAAAGGAAGAGACCUCUAUAAAUAACAUGUUAAGAAAAGAAAAAGGAUCCCGCUGCUGGGAUUAUUAACAUACCUAUUACUCACUCAUCUUUUUUGUGACGAUUAUUAACUAUAAUCAUCCCCAUUUCUUAUUACUCACUCAUCGUAUAGAUUUAGUUCCAUCACUAUCCCAAUCAAAUCAUGGUUAUAACCGCUUCCAAUUGUUAUUUAUCGUCAUGCAAAAAUAUACAAAAUGAAACAGAAAAUGCUUCCAACGGAAUAUUAUUGGGUUUCAACUAUUCAAUAAUACGGGUAAAUAGAGGUUAAGUCGCGGGUCGAUCAUCUUUAUGCGUUUGAUUAUGGUGAUGGUACGGUUACUAUGAAACCUAUAAUCUAUCCUUACUCAUUCUGAGCGGUUAACGAUUAUAACUGUAAUUUUAAAAUACGUGAUCAAUGCGAUUAAUAGCUGUCCACGUGUCGUGAACUCAGAACAGACACAGUGAGCGAAGAACAAAGGAAGGAAAAGGUCGAGUCUUUUCUUCACCAAGUAAUGAGAAAUUAUCAUCUCCAACCAAUAUCGGUGGCGAAACGCCGAAGCAGCCAACCCUGAAACAAGUUAUGCCUUUGACGAUCGGGUUAAGCUAUUGCAGCACCACCGCUGCUCUCCUACUAGCAUGGCGGCGAAGCUUCAACCAGUCAAGUGGAAUUCCGAAGUUUCGAACAAAUGCGUCUGGUAAACGGAAGGUGUUCAAGAAGAAACAACGGAUAGAUGAACAAGAGCAAUCACAAGCCGCCGUAGUUUCUUCUGAUAAGGGAUUUGGAUACGACACUCAGCCUCCGGAGGCAAAUGGGUCUGAUUCUGAGCUGCAGAAGGUCAGCGAUGGUGAGAUUGCUGUUCCUUCUAAGGGAGCUGUAAUUCAGGCUUGCACUCUCACUUCUGGGUUCAUUGCUGGCUUCGGGAUAUUACUUCGACAGGUACUCAAAAUCCAGCUCUUCCAAGUUCUUCCCAUGGGGAAAUUAGUAAUACUAAAGAGAAUUUUUCAACGAAUUUGAAAUUCCAACUUUGUUUAAUUAGGUUUCUCAUGUUGCUGCGGAGGAAGGAUUGCCGAUCCUUGACUGCUCAGAACAAGUCUCUUGUAUGAUGAUAACUAUGGACCUUUUUUCACCAUUCAUGUUCUGUCUAAACUGUGUGCUAAUUGUGUUUCAAUUGCAGUUGGUUUACAGAUUUGGCACCUUGGCUUGAUUCUUGGUUUGGUUUUGCUUAUAUCAUCGUCUCGGUACUUGCUGCUGAAGACAUGGCCGGAUUUUGCUGAGUCGUCCGAAGCAGCGAACCGGCAGGUAGGAUUUUAAAUCCUAUUGAUUUUUGGGCAAUGGUGAUGUACAAAUUACAAUGUGGCCCCCAUUGCUAAUUUCAGGUUCUAUCAUCACUUGAGCCACUAGAUUACUUACUGGUUGCAUUUCUUCCUGGAGUUAGCGAGGUAGGAGCUACUAUAGAGACCGGUUUCUUUUAACAUUGUCGAAACUGAAUCAGUAUGGUUAAUGGAUGAUGCUUCCCAGGAGCUUCUUUUCCGCGGAGCCUUGCAGCCGUUCUUUGGAAUGGACUGGAAGAGUGUUCUUGUCGUUGCUGCCAUUUUCGGGGUUCUGCACCUUGGAAAUGGCCGAAAGUACUCCUUCGCUGUCUGGUAAUCGCUCAAUUGGCUAUGCUCGAACUCUGAAUUUCUCGUCUUUAACAUCAGUCUUCUUACUCUCCAGGGCGACCUUUGUUGGUUGCAUCUAUGGUUACUCCGCAAUUGUAUCCUCGAGCAUCAUCGUGCCAAUGGCUUCCCACGCAUUAAACAACCUGGUUGGAGGGGUCUUGUGGCGCAACACCCAAUUCUCAAAGCUCUCAAAGUCAAAGUAGCCUACCUUAUGACUACAAUUUGUUAUGGUUAGCCAUCUUCUUCCUCAAUCUAAGUAGAAAGAUAUAAAGAAGGGUUUUUUUCAUGCUUGAUACAUAUAUUGUUUCGAGAUGUAAGUAGUGAUGAUAUAUGUGGAGGUUCUUAUGCCCCUUUUCGUCUUCUUCGGAAACCAAGAAACUACGAAUCUUAUGUCACAGAGGAUCAUGUGAUUCAUGUUUUCAAUGUGUUGGAAAUGCCUAAUGAAACAAACAGGAUGCAUCCUAAAGAUCGAUCCUUUCUGUAUUAGCUUCUGGUUCUGAGAUUCCCAAGUUUUUAGUUGUUUACACCUUAAUAGUACUGAAGGUAUCCCCCGUGUUUGACGGUCUUAUUGUCACUUGAUGACAAAGUUGCCUCAUGAUCAGUCUCUUUGUUCUUGUCCUCAUGUUAUGGAGAUUAGCCCAAUGACCAACUUUUUGUAGUUAGUAUCUCUACCAACUGGGUUUCUGCUGGAUAGGAAAAUUCUAAUUCUUGUCCGUAUAUAUCCAACAUUCAUGUAUAUCAUUGCAUAUUGAAACACAAGUUCUUAGUAAAAAACAACGACUCAGAGCUCCUUGUCUCCCGCUCACAGUAUGCUAGAGGUAAGCUCAUCUCCAUGUUCAUUUUUCGAUGUCGAACUUUCCUGAGUUUUGAUCGUGUUUCGUGUAAACAGAAGUUCGGAGGGAGGAGAAGGAAGGAGAGGGAAUGGCUGAGGCAAGAAAGGAAGAGGAAGAAGAGGAACAAGAAAAUGAAGAGCAAUAAGAAGAAUGGCAAAGGUAGCAACGAUGGAAGCACAUUACCGAGGUUCGGGGAAUGGGACGAGAACGAUCCCUCGUCAGCUGAAGGCUACAGCGCUGUGUUUGACUUGGUUAGGAAGGAGAAGAACAGUGGUGUUGGCAAUAUGUCGUUCAAGCUGUUCGAUUCAAUCAAUACCAGGAGGCGGCGAAGCAGGCUCCGUAAUUUCCUCAAAUCGUUGAAGGUAAUGUCUUAAAACUGAAAAAGUCAUCCUUGCCGAUUCCACAAUGAUCGUUUGGAGAACUCUGUGUUGAUUAAUGUUUCUUGCUACUGGGGUUUGCAGAGAUGGUGGAUUUGCUUGUGAAAGUAUUUGCAGAAGGAAGGAAGAAUUUGUUUGUUCAUCAUCAUGGGCUUGGGACUAAAAUGUUAAAAAGGAAAAACAUUAGGGGUUAAACUGUGACGAAAUUUUAUUGAUGCACUUCUAUUAAGUUAUCAUUAUUAUACCACCCUGCCACCUAGCCGUCGCUGCUAGGUACUUUUUUUGUUUUAACGACUAUUUAAAUUGCCGUUAUCAAUGCCGUUUGUUCAUCUAAUGUAGGUUAUAUAUUUAUUAUGAUUCUCCGGAAAUAAAUAAAUAAAUAACCGGAAUGUAAUAAUGACUAAUGAAUCAUCAAUUGUGAAUUUAUUUAUCCCGCUUGUGCGUUGCACCUCCUAAGUUAACUAUUAUAUAUUCUACGGGAUGAAUUUUUAUAAUCAAUAUGAAUCACGUUGAGAUUUUCGGUCCAAACAAAAUUGUGAAUUUAUUUGUACGAUUAAUCUCAAAUAGGUGGCCACUUUAAGUUCAUUGUAGGGAUCUUUCAUCGAUCUACGCAUAAAAAAUUUAAAGAUCGAAGUUCUAAAUCAACAACACUCUCAUACACGUAUACUAAGAUAUUGAUCAGUUGAAUUUAUUUACCGUAUCUCUCCCUCCAUACCAUACCUCUUUUCUUCCAAAAGAAAUAUUGGAUCAAACUCAAAAUCACUCGAUGUCCGGUGUUACACUCGUUGACAGCCUCAACUAACUCGAUUAAGAGUUAUGAUUGUCGAUUUCACUUCUUUGAAUUUCUUUGUUGUCACUUUUUUUGGUAUAAAACUAUUUAUUAUCUGCUCACUUUCAUAUUUUGAGUAAUUACUAACUAGUGGAAAUAAAUUUUGUGUCGGAUUAGCCACCCAAAAAGGUUAUCGAUAUUAACCUGGCAUCUUGUUAAUUAUUUUCUUACAAAAAAUAAAUCUCAUUUUUUUAAAUAUAUUUUCAGGUAGUUUAACUAAUCUAGAUUUUGAUUAUAGUUUUAUGGCAAUCUAGACACGAAAGUACUCCGUUAACUGUUUUCGAUAAUCACUUAUAUCUUACUAUCUUUUUUUUUAUUCGAGAUAAAAAACAACAAAAUAAAGAAAAGCAAACAUGACACAAAUGUCCAUUUAUAAAAUGUAAUUAGAAUUGAAACCCGAGAUCUCUCACACGCAAUACUCCACUUGAACAUACAAAUGCUGCAUAAUAAUAAUACAUCUUAGUAAAACACAAACGGCACACAUGAAACCUACCAACCAAACCUACAAAUUAAUCCAUGUACGUAGUCUUAAUUGAUUGUUCAGUGUAACUGCCAUCCAACAAAACAUUAACUCUUUUGAUCGGUGGACAUAAAAUGUUCAGUUUGGUUACUAAAUGCACCUAAUAAUAUAUUUGUAACUUGUUCAAUCAUUCAUUUUUCAUUCACGUCCGCUCAGAUUUUAAUUCCGCGAAUCUCCGAUCAUCCUCUCCUCCGACGGUUUUUCCGGCCAGACUAGCUUGUAGACCAUUUUCUCACUGUCUUAACUCUAAUUAAUACUAUUAAUCAUUUUUAUUAUCGAGAUAACUUAGGGUUUUCAAUGCAGUUUUUGAUUUGUUCCAUGUUUUGUAUUCGUCCUUUGAGAAAAAAUAGAACAUCUUUGACAAGCAGCCUUGGGUGUUGGAUCAAUCAAUCUUGCAACUAGCGGAAUUCGAAACAACUCUAAUGUCGCUGCAAAUGUAAGACACAAAUUCCUCAUGAAGCACCUACCGGGAUCGUGUUUUUAAUGAACCUCUCGACAGUAUAGGCGAUUAUGAUCACUCAGGCGUUUUUUAUUUCAUGUAAUAGGUAAAAAGAUUAAAAUAUUUUGAAUUAAAAAAUUACUUCAUGCAAUCUGUUUUUAUUAGAACAAUCUAUUUUUACUUCGUACAGUUCAUUUUUAUUAAUUACACGCUAUUUUUUUUAAUAUUCGUAAGAUAUAUUUAUUUAAUUUUGUUAUUUAUAAAUUUUGAAAAGAAAAAUAGAAAUAAAUUUUGAAAAUAAAUCCUUAUUCUUUUGACAAAAAAUCGGGGUUGGCGAUGGUUUUUUCGGGACGAGAGGAUGUUAUGGUUGAACAAAGAGUGAACGUGCUGCAGCUAGACGAGGAAGAACAGACGGCGACGUUCGAGGGUAUCCAGAAAUACUAAAAAAUCUAGCACCGGCAGGCCUGAACAGGUCCUGCCACGAGGAGUGAUUCGGCGGCAAUAACUCAGUUGAGGUAUUGGUGCCCCAAUUCGGGCUCCACCGGUCGUUUCUUGUUUUAUUAGUAUCGAUUUUGUUUUUCGUUUUGAACAAUUAUUUCUUACUUUCUGUUAUCGCAUAGAAGUUAGCGCCUGCAAUUUUAACCUUCGUUCAAGAUUUUUUAUUAUAGGGAUUAUUGAAGUACGCAUGUGGUAGUUCAUGCUACUUAUUUAUGGGUCCGGAUUUCAUUCGUUAAAAGUAAUAUUCCUCCAUAAUAAUAGUUUGACAUAUUGAAUAUUAUUUUGACCAAGAGUUUAAUAAUAUAAAUAGACUAGUUUCGAAAAAAUAAAUGCAUUCGACUGUUUUUAUAUUUUUCAUACAAGAAAAAAGAGAUUUUAUAUCAUUAAUGCUACCUUGCUUUCAUUUCACAUUUCCCAAUGUUUUUCUGUGACGUAUGAGUAGGAAGCCGUCAUUAAUUCAAUGUUAACUAAUAACUACUAACUGAUACCAACAUAAUUAAAGAAUCAUACGUACCAACAAAAAUAGCACAUAGCACAAAAUUUGUACUUGUUGAUGUGUUGUUUUGUAUUGGUGAUUAAAAGUUUUAUUAGUCCGUAAUCGGGUUCACUCGAUGAAAAUCACUCAAUUAUUAACGGAGAGUAGUUGAUUUAAGACACAACUCAAAAUGAGGUCAAAAUAAAAGUGUCCAUUUUCAAAAUGGCAUUAUGUUUUUAAGAUUCAAAUUAGGAACUUCCCAAUCUGAAUCUCAAAGCCAUCAAGUCAUCAGAUAAUAAAUUUAGAAUGACUCAAGGCACUAAAAUGAACUCUAUAUAUAAUUCAAAAGGAACUUAAGUGCAUAAAAAAGAUAAUCAACUUCUAUAUACAUAAAAGUUUAUGUAAUGUUAGAAAUUUAAAUUUGAAAUUUGCUAGGGAAUGGUCCGCAAAGUCAAGCAUUGGAUUCGUCUAGUGAGACGAAUCCAUCUUUCGAUUGAGAAUAUUUGUAGUGAAAGAAACUAAUUUUGGUUUAACACUCGAAUUCUUAACCAAUUUAAACUAGAGGGAGGAAAACAAAAUUUUGAGCUCCUAACUCAAAAUUUAAUGAGUAUUUUUUGUUGGAUCGGUUGAAUCAAACAUGAACCGAACCGGGUCCAUUUCGACAGGUAAAGAACAUUGGAAAAUAGGUAGUCUAUUACUAGGUUUGUUGUUCGAAUAUACGAAACCUAAAAUAAGAUUAAUAAGCAAUUGGUCCAAAGGGAGGGAAUUGGAGUGAAGACAUGCCGAGUAGGAUGUCUCGUGCACGAAAUGAUGAAAUCAAUUAGGUGAGCUAACUAUUACCUUGUGGAUCCACAAGGCUGUGAAUCUUUGUAUCAAACCUUUUAUAAACUUACUUAACAAGUUAUCAAUAAUAUCCGUCAAACAAGUUAUAAUCGAGUGAAUAUAGCACUUAACUAAAAAUCCUUUAAAACACUAUAUAUAUGUUACAUGUGGUGAAUUCUUGAGUAUACCUGCUAUAUCGAAAUUUUUGGUGUGUCCAAUUUUUUUUUGGUAACAUAAAUCCAUCACCACCGUCCAUUUUCAGUUUGCGAUCUCGACGGUUCACAAUUAUUCACAUAUAUAUAUAUAUAGAGAGCGGUUUGGUACCCUAGAAGUACCGGUACCCUCUAUACUAACAAUCUUAUAUUUUUAAAGUUUAAAAUUCAAAAAUUAAAUUCUAAAGUCCUUAUAGUAAAUCCUAAACAAUAAAGAAUGGUGCUAACACUCUAAAUACUAAAUCCUAACCUUCAAACACUACAUCAUAAGCCCAAACUCAAAAUCAUAUCAUAAACUCUAGCUUUUGACCAUAAAUCAAAAUUAAUAGAUCUUAAACUCUAUAUAUCAAACUCUAGCCCUCAGCACUAUACCCUAAUCCUAAACAGAGACCUUCAACCUCAAAAAUCAUAAUUUUAAACACAAAAUAUAGCAAAAUUUAACAUAUAGGGUACUGAUACCCUCGUAGUACCGAAGCGUUUUCCAUUAAAUAUAUAUAUGUGUGUGUGUGUGAAACUAGGACUGUAUAGUUACGUUAUUGUUGACAGAUCAGAAUUCAGUAUUCCUCCUAUUGAGAGGCUUAUGGUAACAUCAUUCAUCGCUUUCUCUUGUCAUUCAUCUUUCUAUCUUUCGACGGACUCUUAUUCGGUGUAAAAAAAGAUUAGGGUUUCUGAAGAAAAGCCAGUUAGGGUUUUUUCUUGAAGGAAAAAAAAGGUUGGAGUUAUUUGUUUCUUUUCCCCCGAGACAAAUCGAAGAUAGCAAUGGUGUAGCCAGGACGAGACGAUGAUGAAGAUGAAUGAGGAAAGGAUGCGUUGCAGCUGUACGAAGAAGAACCGACAGCGACCUUCAAAGGUAUCCAGGAACACCCAAAAAACCUGGCAACGAAAGGCCUCUCCGGGUCCUGCCACACAGACUAAAUUGCUAGCAACUACCCACUCGAGAUCUCGACCCUUUUGAGUGUUUGAUGUUUUGGGUGUCCCCAGUUCGGGCUCCAUCGAUCAUUUGUUGUUUCUUAUUUUUGGAUGUUUCCUGCUUUUUGAAUAAAUAUUUCUUUCUUACUUUUGCUUUUGGGUAGAGCUUAGAGUCUAGUUGUCCGCCUCCGGUCAAGGUUUUCUAUGUUGGAUCCUUUAGUCAAUUUGAAAUUAAGCGACCGGACAAUUCACUUUGCAACUUCACAAGCUUCGUCCGAAGUAUCGUAAACAUAGUCGGAUAAAAAUCUAUCGGUGUAAUUGAUUCUAUCACCCUUAUUCACCGAUGACUCUCCCUACACACAAAACGUACGCUACAUUUAUCAGUUGUGUACCCAUCUUCGUAUUCAUUCACUUAUUUCUUCAACAAAAUUAACGACCACUUACCGAAUUACUCAUGACGAGUUAAUGCAUCCAACGUACGUUAAAACCAUCCGACAAAUGUUAUUACCUGAAAAACAAUUAAAUGAGGUCAUUAAAAAAUUAAAAAAAGAAUUCAAACCGGCCCGACCGAAAUGUAGAAAAAUGAACCGUGAGAUAAUUUUUUGAGAAAAUAAAUUUGAACAAUGUCGCAUUUAUAAAGUUUAAAACGUCAUUUUAUUCAAAAGGUAGAGCGUCAAAUAACGAUCCAGCAAACACCAAAAAUACCUCGCAAGUGAUUGGCCCUCUUUAUGACCUACAUUUUCAAAGAUACAGUUACAUAACUAAUACAAGGUCUUCUUCCAUUAAUUAAUCUAACUCCGAGAUCAACGAUAAGUUAGUCGACUAUUCAGAAGAUGAACCUAUAAAAGUUUGAACUUGCAUAGGCAUUCUGUUUCAUACACUCUAUUUCUCUGACUGUGUCUCUGCCUGCCCACGUUCCGUUAUGGCCAGCUGAGCUCUGUCGACAUCUAGUAGUUUAAUGCGGUGGUUUUCAGCUCAGCUACUUCCCUAACUCCACCCAAUCCCUCCUUCUCUCUUCGUACUCUCCGCCUUCAGAUCUCCACUCUUAUAUCAAUCAAACCCAAAAUCCCCCAGAUUCCUCGGAUCCAGCAAAAAAAAUGGAGGCGGCUAACCAGCUCUACAACAUCCUCGACACCUUAAAGGUCCAGCCUUUCUACAUCCUAGCCCUCUUCACACUCGGAACCCUCACGACCCUCAAGUUCCUCUACUCCCUCCUCUACUGGGUCUACGUCAAUUUCUUGCGGCAGGGAAAGAAUCUGAAGAAGUACGGAUCAUGGGCGGUCGUCACCGGCGCCACCGACGGAAUCGGAAAAGGUUUCGCCUUUCAGCUCGCACGCAAGGGUAUUAACUUGGUCAUCGUGGGGCGGAACCCUAGCAAGCUUAAAGAAGUCUCCGACUCGAUCGGAGCGAAGUACUCUGUCGAAAUUAAGACGGUGGUCGUCGACUUUUCCGGCGACAUCGACGGCGGGGUGGAGAGGAUCAAGGAGACGAUUGGAGGGCUGGAAGUUGGAAUUCUGAUUAACAACGUCGGGGUUUCGUACCCUUACGCUAGGUUCUUCCACGAGGUUGAUGAGGAGCUGCUGGGGAAUCUGAUUAAGGUGAACGUUGAAGGGACGACCAAAGUUACUCAGGCGGUUCUGCCCGUGAUGUUGAAGAGGAAGAAGGGGGCUGUUGUGAAUAUUGGGUCUGGUGCUGCCAUUGUUAUCCCUUCUGAUCCGCUCUAUGCUGUUUAUGCUGCUACUAAAGCGUAAGCCUUUUGUUUCGAUUCAAGCUACUUCUUGUUUGAUUUAUCAUAUGGUGCAAGCGUGGUUGAUUUUGAGGAUUUGGGUUGUUUUUGUUUCAGGUACAUUGAUCAGUUCUCUAGGUGUUUAUAUGUUGAGUACAAGAAGAGUGGGAUUGAUGUUCAGUGUCAGGUAAAAAGCUCUAACCUUUGGUCAUGGUUCAUGUAUGGGAUCGAGAAUUAGAGUAUGUACAAGGAUAGGGAAAUGGUCGUGAAGCGUUUGCUAGAAGUUAGAGAAUGUUAGAUUAUCUUGUCUGCUACUUAUAUUUGGUGGACUCUGGCAACUCUAUUUGGGAAAGUCAGAAUUUCGUACUUGGAGGAGUAAGCUUAGUAAAAGGUUUUCUCUUUUGUCAAACUACCUGUUAGCUUCAAAUGUGGAGUAGUUUUAGUGAUUGCAGAAGUUAGAAUAGUUUGGUGUAAGAGUUUCGGAUGUCUGAUAUGUACGGAUACGUUCAUGUAAUGAUGUCUAGGUGUAUGUACAUGUGUUUGUACGUUUCAAAUUCCCGAUUUCAUUCGCACAUGAUCUGGCACCAGGCUGUAUCUGUGAUGAUUCGUGUGUUUUGAACUAGUACUGCUGUCUAGGCUUGUGCUUUCUGGUAUACGGAAAACUUCGCAUUCUCUGAUAGAGUUUCGAUCCGUUUGAUAGCUCUUAACAUUGUUUGCUAAAUGCAGGUUCCACUCUACGUGGCGACAAAGAUGGCCUCCAUAAAGCGAUCAUCCUUCUUCGUGCCAUCGAACGAGGGCUAUGCCGAGGCAGGACUGCGUUGGAUAGGUUACGAGCCUCGCUGCACCCCUUACUGGCCACAUUCUUUCCUCUGGGCUCUCAUCCACACCUUGCCGGAAUCAGCAGUCGAUGCAUGGAGGCUGAAGUUCUGUAUGGGGAUCCGUAAGCGAGGCCAGCGGAAGGAUGCAAUGAAGAAAGACGAGUGAAGAUCUUCAGUAUGGUCAUAACACGGGAAUCAAAAUAGAACCGGAUCUUUGCAUAAGAAAAAAACACAGAACUUUGUAGUUGGGAGCUGGUGGUUACAUUUUACUUAGUUGGAGACUGGUGUGUUUUCUUUGUUUCGUUCUUGGGGUGGGGAUUGGAACAUGGGAAUCUCCAAAAUCUGAGGAAUGAUUUAACAGUUAAUAAUAACAUGAUGAUUAGUUUAUGUUACAAAAAUGCUUGUUGCGUGUGAUGUUUCCUUAAACGUGGGAGGUGGCGUUGGUACACCUAACUGAGUACAGAUCGUGUGGUGAAUCUUUUUCUUUUGUUUUUGACGAAUCAGGUCACAAGUUUGGUGAAUCAAAAUCACAAGUUCUUUGCUUACAUACAUAGCUGUAAAUUUGGGGGAAAUAAAUGAUAUUCAAAAUCACAAGUUCCUUGCUUAGAUAUAGCUGUAAAUUCUGGAAAAGAACUUGUACUCUGGAAGUCUGAACUUCAAAUUUUAACAUUUUUUCUUUCCGGGGAAGCCGGAAAAGAUAAAUUUGCGGUGAGCGUGGAUCGAACACGCGACCUUCAGAUCUUCAGUCUGACGCUCUCCCAACUGAGCUAUCCCCGCUUAAUGGGUCGUACCAUACAUUUAUAAAGUUUUGUCAGAAUAGUGGAAUGUGAGAUGAACAAACUAUGAAUCAAAGGCGUGGCGUGAGAUGAAACGGACUAAUUAUCUUCCUACUAUGUUGUUUGAUAAUGCUCUAACCACUAAUCAUUUCUUUAUUUUAUUUUCUUUUCUCCUUAUUUAUGUCUUUUUAUCUUUUUGUGCAUGAUUCACUCUAAUCACCUUUUCCCGCCUGUUAAACAUAUAACUCAUGCCUCAUUAUGCAUAGCUAGUGCUUUGAAACCCAAACCAAACCGAAAAACCCGCAUUUUGAUCACCAAUUCGGUUGGAAUCGACAAAACCGAACACCACGCCUUUGACUUGGUUGCGAGCUAGCCAAUCCUAGUUUCUACCCUAAUCGAUCACUGAUUUAGCAUUUUCUAUAGACUAGUCAGUUAAUAUAAUUUACUUAAUACUUAUGUACAGCUAUACUUGUUGCUCAAGAUAGCUUCUCACAUGAAAACAAACACAAAGAAUACUAGGGUGAUGAAGGCAUUACUAAUUAAAUGCAUGCAUGAGCAACCAGAAAGCAUAAUUAAUUAAUCAACUAAUCCUUCACCAGUACUGGUGUAAAUAUAAAUGCAGAGAUUCCAAAUAUUGGAUCGUAGCUGGCACACAUAUAUCGUACGACGUUACAACCAACAACCAACCAGCUAGCAGCUGCAUUUCUUCAUAAAUAAUGUCACCAACUUUGUCUCUCUAUACUUUUGGUACCACAUAUGCAUACAUAUGUUCAUUUUUAUCUUGCAUGUAUAUAUAUAUAUAUUGGAUAAAGAUCUUGCAUGAAUAUUUACGACGCAUCAGUUGAUGGUUACAUUUUUUUUCUAACGUAUUUGAAAGUAUUCAAAAGGUACUGAAAUCAUGGUUGAAUUACUGAGAUAUAUUUAUUACGAUUCGACGUUAGAAAUAGUACUAAUCCUGUUGUUUACGAUCCAUAGUUGAAAACUUAGGCUCGAGACUAAGGAAAAAUCUCCUUGACCCACUGCUAGAAAUGCAAAGUUCAACUACAACAACAUAAUACCAUACUCUACCUCGAAUUCCAUGUGAUAUGAUAUUUGAUUCAAUCUCGAAACCUCUCAUAAUUAGUAGCCUCACAAUAGGAUAUUAUAACGGUAAACACAAACAAAUAUUAAUGACGUAAUGCAGCGGAAAAUUAGCGGUAAAAAUAAAAUAAAAUAACUCAAAGACACUCGCAUUCUCUAACGUAUAUCAAUUAUCAACAACUAACCAACGAAAUCGUAACUAAACCAAAAACCAACAAAAUCACCGUAACAAAAUUACAAUUCUAUCCAUAAGCAAAAUAAACAAAAAGAAUUCUCAUCGUAAUCGUGACGCUUUAACGUCCGUUAAUUCACCCACCGCCGCCGGCGUCACCUUCUUCUUUCUAAACACAAUCUCCGUAUCCAAUCCGAACCCGUCAACUUUCCGCCGAUAAACAACCUCCGACUCCUUAAACAUCUCCACUACCGCCUCCAAUCUCAGCACAUCAUUCGCCGAGUACUUAUCCGACCGCCGCGACACCGCCACGUGCAGAACACAUACCCCACCUGGCUUCAGCGUCCGCUCGAUCUCCCCGACGAACUUCUCCGGAUAAAGCGCGUGAUCGAACACGUUGGAGAAUUCAAAGUCAAACGUCUCAUCAUCAAACGGCUGCGAAUGAAAGUCGCCCUUGACGACCAACGGCGGAGAUGGGACGAGGUCGAUCCCGAUCGAGUCGGACACUCCGACCCGCUUCAGGGCCUCCACCUCCUGCCCGACCCGAGCCCCGACGCAGAGGGCCUUGGAGUUGUUGGAGAGGAGGUUUUCAGAUUUGAGGCGGGCGAAGAACUUGGAGAAGACGUUGAUUUUGCGGUCCCAGUCGCGGGUCUUCCAUACCCGGCGGAGUUUCGGGUUGAGGGUCUUGUUGAGCUGGCGGUUGAUGUAGGAUUCGUAGGUGGUGUAGCCGGGUCGGAUCCGGAUACCGGGAGUUGACGGUUGGGGUUGUUGGUGGGGGCGGUGGUUGAGGGGGAAGAGGAAGAGGAGGAGAGGAAGGGAGAGGAAUAAGGUGAGGAGGAAGUAUUUGAGGAUCGGCGGUGGCGGGUUUUGCUUCAUCGUCAUUGAUCGAUUGAUGAUCUUCCGUUAUUUUGCAUGUGUGGAUUGAAUUGAUGAAAUUCCUUUUGUUGAUUCUAUUUAUUUAUUUAUUUUGUGGAUGAUCAGAGAAUGUGUGUUGGGGAAUUUUGAGGUGGGAAGGGAGUUGGGUUGUGUGAUACGGUUCAAGGGUUUAUUAUCGAUGUUGUAUUAUGGGUGGGAGUUGGGUUGGCAUCGAAUUUGGUCUGUUGAUCGAAUCGAUUUUGGAUAGGGUUUAAAUGGUUUUGGUUGUAAAGGGUUUUUCUUCGGUUUGAUUUUUUGUUCAGAUGAGAAAAAUUGUUGGUCUUAAUUGUAGGGUGAGAAUAGGAACCAAAUCUCGACUGUUAUUAGUAUGCAUUAUACAAAAGGCAGUCAUGAAUUUAUGAUCAUAACUACAGCUAUCCGUGUUUGCGAUUAUAAACGUGAUUGGUCAAUCAUAACUCUACUAUAACGAACUUUAGAACAAUGAUGCUCGUAGAUUUAAAAGAGUGACAAGCCGACAGACUAGAAGACGUAAUCCUUUUUUACUAUAACCAUACAUACAAAUAAUUUACCGUAACAUUGAUAUUUAACUCCAUAGUCAGGUUUAAUGCAGCGGCCCCACCCCACUGAUUUGCAAGAAGAAGUCAAUUACCGGUUCGUCUCGGUCGACUUUCAGCUUUUGUAAGCUGUAACGUGAUUAGGAGGAAUAUGGACAAUAGAGAGAAUUUGGUACGUGGUGGGGAGGGGAAGGGGAGAGCCAAUGAGGGGAAGACACGUGGGGAGGAAGUGGACAUGCAGAGGUCCAAUUGUGCUGUGUGGGAAUUUUGUUGGUAUCUAAAGAUUGUGGGACGGUGGGUGACCGAUGUUUACAAGGAUAACAAUAUGCUUCUUGGAUGAGUAGUGCAUCCAUGAGGUCAAAACAUCGACAAGUCCAAACAUGGGCGGAUAUUCACCGGUAGCUGUUUUGUUGGUGUUGUUGUAUGUUCCGAUUAUAGAGUUUUUAUUAGUCGAGAUAAAUUGAAAUCCCAGAUGCGUGAGUUAAAUAUCGGAGAAUGCAAAGUGGGAUAAUGAAAGUUAGAAAGUGAUGAUCAUCUAUCAACCCUUACCAUACAUGAAUUCAGUAAUGGGUGUUCUAGCCUUCAUUCUUAUAGUUUUCUUAAAAAAACCUAACCACAUUUCAGUCGGCAUGGACAAUGAUUGUGUCAUACCACAAUUAGAAUAAAAAAUCACUCUAUGUCUUACUGCCAAAUUCGAAUAUAAAGAACAACAAAUUCAUGAAUGGGUUAAUAGAAGGAGAAAGCAAGUUACAUGUUGAUUAUCCUCGUUUAUUAUUUAUUUUGAAAGGUGUAAAGCUAGAAAAAAAAGCUUGUGAGUGGGGCAAAUUUCAAAGGAAUAAAGAACCCUACCUCUUGAGUUAAAGAGGAGAAGUUGAUAAGCUUGGAAGUGAAGAAAUAACAACUAGUGGACUAUAUCAUUUAUAAAAUAAUAAUAAUAUAUUAGUGGACUAAAUGAAUAUAAAAGAAUAACCAUCCUGCCAUCUCAAGUUGAAGUUAAUUUAUGAGAGAAAAACCGUUCUGCCACAAAAUGACAAAUUUUUUAUGAGUCGACGAUUUUUUAUUUCGACGUGACAAAGUGAACAACCAACAAUAUCCAUAAACAUUUGUAACCGUUUGCACAAUUUCAUGAUUUCUUAUUGUGCAGUUAUUCAAAAAUCAUGGAAAUGAAAAUGACUGCUGCAAUCAUUCAAUUUGAUCAACUGUCUCAAAGUUUCUCAAGAACGAUUUGCAGGCCAUAACGAGGACAGCUCGUCAAAACCUGAGCCGGGGAAUGUACAUACUUAUCCGAGAGCCUAAGCCUGUAACGCUGCAGGAUCAUGGCAACUGCAAUCUUCAUUUGUGUCAUUGCAAAGUUCAUACCAACACAAGCCCGUGGCCCCAAACCGAAAGGCAUGAACGUCGCCGAUGCCUUAGCUACUGCCCCUUCCGCAAAUCUAUCUGGUCUGAAUAGCUGAGCGUCUUCCCCCCAUACCUCAGUCCUGUGGUGAAGCGCUAGAACCGGAAUGUAAACUUCGGUCCCUUUCGGAAGUAGUAGUUUCCCUGGACCGAGUCGUACUUGAUCUCGCUCGACUCUCCUUGAAACGUGGAAGAACGGUGGGUAUAGCCUCAAAGAUUCGUUGAUGAUCAUGGUCAGCUGUGGAAAAAAAUACACGCGGCAUGAGUUCUACUUCUGUAAUUAACAACCACACUCAAACGGCUAAAAGGAGCUAAAGUUUGCAUAGUUUCAUUAAGUCAUAUGCAGUCAUGUGAAGACUCUAACAUCACGUCAAGAACCAUUGCAUCCCAAUAACUGAGGAGGGUCAAAACUGUUUCAGACAUGUUGACUUACGAUGGAUAGUCUAGAGAUGCUAUCAGGAGUUGGGGAUGUGUCAUUUCCGAAUAGUUGAACUACCUGAUCCCUGGCUUUCUCUUGCCACUCCGGGUGAACCGCUAGCAGGAGUACUGUCCAGGUCAGCGAGCUCGUGGCGGUUUCGUGGCCAGCCAAGUAGAAUGUCUUGCAUUCGUCAACCAGAUCAUCCACUGUGAUUCUCUUCUUCAUGUCAGGAUCGGUGUAGGCCUUGAGAAGCAGAGCAAGGAAAUCAGUUGCAGAAGCAGCACUGCUGUUGUUAUUCUCUUUCUCUCUUUUGGCCACCAUGUUGAUUAUGAUGGCUUUGAUCGCUUGCCGGAGAACAGCUGAUUCAUGCUCGUCCCCUUUCCUGAAAAUGAUUCUGCUUCCAAGGCACAAAAAUAAAAAAUUAAAACAGAAGAUUCAGGUUUGGUAUAUAUUCGGGAUGAAAUAAACCUCAGGAUAGCAAAGAUAUUUCCUGACAGGUGUAAUUAACCUGAGGAUGGUCGAGAUUCCUGGAAUCCUGACACCGUACUCGCUCCGUGAGAAGAUCGAAACCAUCUCCGUCAGCAGCUCGAAAACCUUUUGUCCUUCCAAGUAGCUGCUCCCAAAAGCAGUCCUGGAUAUAAUCUCUGAUGUCAGGACUCUAAGCUCCUGAAAUGCAUCAAUCUCAUGAUUUAUGUUUUUCCAUCUUUCGAGCAUCAUCUCGACGCUCGCAAUCAUGGCCGGAACCAUGCUCUGAAAAAGAGGGGAAAAGUAAACAACUUCAGUUUCGAAAACAUUCCUGAGAAAACCUACGAGUGCGCUCGUUCUUCCCCCUGCACUAGACUGUUAAUGAAUAAUAUAAAUUUAAUCUUGUACCUUUUCCCAACAACUCCGAGACAAUUAUGUUUUGGUAAAGAAAACUGUUGUUAAACAGACAAAGUCUUACCUUCAAGCUUUCUCCAUGGAAGGCAUGGUUGGCGAGCCUGCGCACCUUCACCCAUUUCUCGCCUCUAGACACGACGAGUCCAUCUCCUAUCAAGUCUUUCAAGAGAACUAGAAAUGCAUGCUUCUCAUAAGAUCCAUCUUUGCUGGUGAGCACUUCUUUGAUUAGCUCUGGUUCAGUGACUACAAGUUGUGGCCUGCUGCCAUACCACUGCAAAUAGUUCUUCCCUGAUAAUAACACACUUGCUCAACAAACGAAACGAACUGGUUCUUAACAUGGUAUGAAAAAAGAGAAUCAUUGUUAGAAUAAUGGUUUAAUUAUUACUUACCAUAGAGCUCCGUCCAAGAGUAGAUGUGAAGCUGGAGUCUUGGAAAUAUAUGGUUGGACAACUCCACCAUGGGGGUCUGUGUAGCUUGAAUUCUCAUUUGUGCUAUCUCUCUAGUGUUGCCAUGGAAGAAUCUGUAAGGAGGGCCUUUGAUCCCUUGCGAUCUCAUCUGGGAUUGGACUCGAAUCGGUGUCCACCAUGUUCUGUUCAGGAACCUGGUGAUGAUCAACACCAAGUAUGAACAGAGGCAGGAAGAAAGAAAGAUCAACAGAGUUCCCAGUUGAAUCAUUUCUCUGUUUGGUUUGUUUGUCAAAUAAUUGACAACAAUAAUUUACUUCAGUUGUAACUGGUUUUCCUUGAAUUUUUCUCUUCAUAAUGGCACGGUAUAUAUGUAUAUACAAUAUGCUAAGAGUUUGCUUGCCUUGUUGCAGGAAUAUUAUAAGCUUUUUUAGUGCUUGAUGGAUAACCAAUGCCAUGAUUUGCAGGUUUUAAAUAAAAAAUAUGAACAUGCAUGGUUUCCAUUCACUCAAACCUCGGCCUGCACAACCAAGGAAGAGACAACACAUGAACUAACAAGGCAGGCAGGCAGCACCAAUCUGGCUAAACCGGCCAUGCAAACUUACCAUCAAAAGGGAAAAAACAAACCGUACCGACCGCCAAGAUCCUGCCAAACUAAAAUCAAUAUAUAUAUAAAAACAAAACCGGCGGCCUGGAAGAUGCGCAUCCAGUUCAUAUCUUUCCAUGCCACAAUAAACUCACCAACGGAGGACUGAUUCGGGCCAUGGAUGGAAAGUUUUGAACUAAUCCUAACCCAAAUAGAUGAAGAGAACUUCAUACCGGAGAGACAAAUGGUCCACCGAUUCAAGAUCUUUACAACAUGGCACACCGAUUGGCCAACCAUAACCCUCACAUUUGAAAGAUCAAGAAUCCCUACAUCCCCAAAACAAUGGAGGUAUUACGUUGAUGGAAGACACUCGUCAAAAAAUCUAAACCCGAGAAUAUAUGGAGAAUCAGAUUUUUGUGUUUCGAUGCAAACAAACAAACAUACACUAUAGGGAGAGCGUACUGUAGCAAGAAGGCAAGCAGUUAGAAAAUGUUCUUUCAUCUUAGCUCUAUUCUGGAUGAAUUAUAGAUCAAUUCAAAACUUCCACUUAGAAAAUUUCGAAUAGGUGAUCCUCCUAUUCAAAUACAUUACUUAAAAUCACUCAUAACCGCAGCCCAGAGUGGCCUAAAACACCAUUCAGCUUACCCAUUUAUUCCAACAUUUAGCAGGGCACAUAUGAUGCUACAAUGAUCAUUUGAUCAAUUGUCUCAAAGUUUGUCAAGAACGAUUUGCAGGCCAUAGCGAGGACAGCUAGUCAAAACCUGAGCCGGGAAAUGUACAUACUUAUCCGAGAGCCUAAGCCUGUAACGCUGCAGGAUCAUGGCAACUGCAAUCUUCAUCUGUGUGAUUGCAAAGUUCAUGCCAACACAAGUCCGCGGCCCCAACCCGAAAGGCAUAAACGUUGCCGAUGCCUUAGCUACUGCCCCUUCUGCAAACCUCUCCGGUCUGAAAAGCUGAGCGUCUUCCCCCCAUGCCUCACUCCUGUGGUGAACUGCGAGAAACGGGAUGUGAACUUCUGUCCCUUUCGGAAGUAGUAGCUUCCCUGGCCCCAAUCGUACUUGAUCUCGCUCGACUCUCCUCGAUACGUGGAAGAAUGGUGGGUAUAGCCUCAAAGAUUCGUUGAUGAUCAUAUUCAGCUGAGAAAAAAGAAUACACAGGGCGUAAGGGGGUUCAUAUUGACUUUUAUAUCAUUAGUCAGAGAGUUGACUUACAAUGGACAGUCUAGAGAUGCCAUCAGGAGUUGGGGAUGAAUCGUUGCCGAACAGUUGAACCACCUGAUCCCUGGCUUUCUCUUGCCACUCUGUAUGAACAGCUAGCAGAAGUACUGUCCAGGUCAGCGAGCUUGAUGUCGUUUCGUGGCCCGCCACGUAGAAUGUCUUGCAUUCGUCAACCAGGUCAUCCAUUGUGAUCCUGUUCUUUAUGUCCGGAUCGGUGUAGGACUUGACAAGCAUUCCAAGGAAAUCACUUGCAGAACUAGUACUGUUAUUGUCUUCUCUUCUUUUGUUCACCAUUUUCAUGAUGAUGUGUUUGAUCUCUUUCUGGAUAACAGCCGAUUCAUGCUCAUCUCCUGUUCUGAAAAUGAUUCUGCAUCCAAAAACAGAAAAAUUCAGGUUUGGUAUUGGGAUGAAAUGAACCUCAAGAUGGCCGAGAGAGAUUUUCUUGAGAGGGGUAAUUAACCUGAGGAUGGUGGAGAGUCCUGGAAUCCUGACUCUAUACUGGUUUCGCGAGAUGAUCGAAACCAUGUUGGUCAGCAACUCGAAAACCUUCUCUCCUUCCAAAUAGCUGCUUCCAAAAGCUGUCCUGGAUAUCAUCUCUGAUGUCAGGAUUCUGAACUCCUGAAAUGCAUCAAUCUCAUCAUUAAUGUUCUUCAACCUUUCGAGCAUCAUCUCGACGCUCGCAACCAUGGCCGGAACCAUUCCCUGCAGAAGCAGAAGAAAAUCAAGGAAUUUUAAAAAAGCUUCGGCUCCUGGCCCAAACUGCCGUUAGACAUCGUAGCAUUGGAGCCACUGUUAGGAUGUUGAAAAACUUCCGUUACACUGUCUAUUUCUUGUAGUGCACACUGCACUGGACUACACUGUUAAUGAAUAAUAUAAAAUUAACUUUGGACUAUCUUUCAACAACUCAGAAUUAUUGAGACACAAUUGAUUACUGUCUCUGUGUAAAACUGUCAAAGACUUACCUUCAAGCUUUCUCCAUGGAAGGCAUGGUUCGCGAGCCUGCGCAUCUUUACCCAUUUCUCGCCUCUGGACACGACGAGUCCAUCGCCUAGCAAGUCUUUCAUGAAAUCCUGAAAUGCAUGCUUCUCGUAAGCUCCAUCUCUGGUGGUGAGCACUUCUUUGAUUAGCUCUGGUUCAGUGACUACAAGUUGUGGCCUGCUGCCAUACCACUGCAAAUAGUUCUUCCCUGAUCACAACAACACACUAAUUACUCAACAGGACGAGCAAACUGAUUUUUGACAUGGUAUAAGAGAUCUACGUUUAAUUGCUUACCAUAAAUCUGGGUCCAAGAGUAAAUGUGAGGCUGGAGUCUCGGGAAGAUAUGAUGGGACAAAUCCACCAUGGGGGUCUCUGUAGCUUGAAUUCUCAUCUGUGCUAUCUCCCUGGUGUUGCCAUGGAAGAAUCUGUAAGGAGGGCCUUUGAUCCCUUGCGAUCUCAUCUGGGAUGGGACCCGAAUCGGUGUCCACCAUGUUCUGUUCAGAAACCUGAUGAUGAUCAACACCAGGUAUGAACACAGGCAGGAUGAAAGGAAGAUCAACAGAGUUCCCAGCUGAUUCAUGUUUCUCUCUGUUUGGUUGUUGUCAAUAAUUGAGAGCAAAGCAGUUACUUUUUAUAUUUGGUUUGCCUUUCAUUUUCCUCAUAAUUAAUGACAGUACUCUAUAAUUUGCUAAUGUUCUUGCCUUUUUGCAGGGAAUUAAGUUAUUAAUUAGUGCUUUAAUAUGGAUGAUGACAUGAUCAUUAAUUGUUGAACACUAAGUACUGUAUACAUGAUUUGCAGGUUGCCCGCCUCCUUGUGCUGCUGCUAGAACAGUCAACAGUCAACUCGUACCCGGAGUGGGCCUCUCGUGGGCUGUAGCUGGGUGGCCUGUGUCAAUUGGGCCGGAUCAAGCACAACAUUAUUGAAACCAGUGGCAAAAAUGCCAUCACAAGAGAAAUGAAAGGGAAAAAACUAUAACAUUAAUGUCAAUACAUAAGUUUUGCUGAAUUUGAAUUCAGUAUUUCCAAGUACCGACACAAAACGCAAUUAUAAUAGUGAUUUGAUCAAUUCUCUCAAAGUUUCUCAAGAACGAUUUGCAGGCCAUAGUUUGGACAGCUAGUUAAAACCGGAGCCGGCGAAUGCACAUACUUGUCCGUGAGCGUAAGCCUGUAACGUUGCAGGAUCAUGGAAACUGCAAUCUUCAUUUGUGUCAUUGCAAAGUUCAUACCAACACAAGCCCAUGGCCCCACACCGAAAGGCAUGAACGUCGCGGAUGCCUUAGCUACUGCCCCUUCCGCAAAUCUAUCUGGUCUGAAUAGCUGAGCGUCUUCCCCCCCACACAUCAGUCCUGUGGUGAAGCGCUAGAACCGGAAUGCAAACUUCGGUCCCUUUCGGAAGUAGUAGCUUCCCUGGACCGAGUCGUACUUGAUCUCGCUCGACUCUCCUCGCUACAUGCAAGAACGGUGGGUAUAGCCUCAUGUUGAUGAUCAUAGUCAGCUGUGGAAAAAAAAAUACAACACAAGGCGUAAGAGGUUUCAGAUUGACUUUUAUAUGUAAGAGGUUUCAGAUUGACUUUUAUAUAUUAUUAAUCGAAGAGUUGACUUACAAUAGACAGUCUGGGGAAGCCAUCAGGAGUUGUUGGGUAAGUAUCGUUUCCGAACAGUUGAACCACCUGAUCACUGGUUUUCUCUUGCCACUAUGUGUUAACCGCUAGCAAGUAGUGUCCAGGUCAGCGAGUUCAUGGCGGUUUCGUGGCCUGCCAAGUAGAAUCUCUUGCAUUCGUCAACCAGAUCAUCCACUGUGAUUCUCUUCUUCAUGUCAGGAUCGGUGUAGGCCUUGAGAAGCAAUGCAAGGAAAUCAGUUGCACAACUACUGUUGUUAUUCUCUUUCUCUCUUUUGGCCACCAUGUUCUUUAUGAUGGCUGUGAUCUCUUGAUUGAGAAUAUCUGAUUCAUGCCCAUCCCCUCUUCUGAAAAUAAUUCUGCAUCCAAGGACAAAAAUAAAGUAAAAUAAAAAAACUGUUUAAAAUUCAGGUUCUGCUAUUGGGACGAAAUGAAUGUCAGGAUGGAGGCCGGAGAGAUUUCCUGACAGGUGUAAUUAACCUGAGGAUGGUCGAGAUUCCUGGAAUCCUGACACUGUACUCGCUCCUCGAGAAGAUUGAAACCAUCUUAGUCAGCCACUCGAAAACCUUUUGUCCUUCCAAGUAGCUGCUCCGAAAAGCAGUCCUGGAUAUGGUUUCGGCUGUCAGGAUUCUCAACUCCUGAAAUGCAUCAAUCUCUAUUCUCCGGUCUCCAUCAUUCAUCUUCUUCCACCUCUCCAGCAUCAUCUCCACGCUCGAGAUCAUGGCCGGAACCAUACCCUGAAAGAAGAGGGAAGAGAGAAAAAAACAAAUCGAAAACUCGUACUCCAAGAAAUGUUCUGAAUGCUCGAAUCAUUAAGACCCAAUUACUUUCUUUCUGGUAACAAUAACGGUUACUUUGAUGUUAGACUGUCAGUCAAAGUCUUACCUUCAAGCUUUCUCCGUGGAAGGCAUGGUUGGCGAGCCUGCGCAUCUUGGUCCACUUCUCGCCUCUAGGCACGACGAGUCCAUCCCCUAGCAUGUUUUUGAAGAGAAGUUGAAAUGCAUGCUUCUCGUAAGCUCCAUCUCUGGUGGUGAGCACUUCUUUGAUUAGCUCUGGUUCAGUGACUACAAGUUGUGGCCUGCUGCCAUACCACUGCAAAUAGUUCUUCCCUGAUCACAACAACACACUAAUUACUCAACAGGACGAGCAAACUGGUUCUUGACAUGGACGAGCAAACUGGUACACAGCAUGACGAGUAAUAUUUAGGAGCCGUUUUUUUUAAUAAAAAGUUAGCUUCACAACACUAUAAAACUUUCAAAGCAUAUUCAAUCAUACUAUCCAUUACUGUCAUAAACGAGGCUAAGUUCAUUCAAAAUAUUAAAACCCAAUAAGUAUAGCUCAACUAAAGCAAUAUGUAGUUUAAAUAUUUAAAAGUACAUCGAGCUUUUCAAGUAAAUUAUAUAUUGAUAUGUGCACAACUAUUAAUGGUUACAUUGAAAUAAAAAAUUUGGUUAGAAUGUUGUAUUUGCCGAACAACAUGUCAAAUGUUUGAAGUGAUAUCGAGUUUUUUUUUAAUUUUGUUCAUGUCUCUUAUGAUCAUAAGAACUAUAUGUUUUAUGUGCUAUAAAAACACAUAAUAUUUAAGUACAUAAUUUCACUAUUGUCCUUUGGUUUGAAUUACUCGGGUACUUAUCGAUUAUUUAUGCUUUAGUUGAUUUAUUUAGGCUGUUAAUAGUGAAGUAAGAAAAGGAUUCAAAUCGUCCAAUGGACCGUGAUUUGAUUUAUUCUAAUUUGUCCACAACGAAAAUCUAUCUAGCUGAAGAUGGGAUGAACUGAUUAGGAUUGUAUUUUUGUACUUACUAUUUUUCUGGUAUUUUUGAGCAACAUGACAUCUCCCCCGAUUUGCAGGAAGAUAAAUUUAUUAAUUAGUGCUUAAUGGAUGAUAACAUGACCAUUGUUGAACACUAAUUAAUUACUGUAGUCUGUAGAUAUAUUUUGCAGGUUGAAUGGUAAGAAUUGUAACUGGAUCGAACCAAAUCGGUUUCAAACUAGACUCGGUUCAUAACAUAUUUGACCCCAACACUCUCCUCUACCUCAUAUUCAUCUUCUUUGUUUUCUUUCACUUGUUUGUUAGAAUCGAAGGAUGGCAGCUAGUAAGUGUAAAAGAGUGUGGUAGAGUUAGUUAUUAUUGUUGUAACUAACUUUGACUUCAUUGCAUUCCUUUCCUUUUGUACAUAUAUAGUUGCAGAGCUGUACAAUGAAACUAAGAAAUACAAUAACAGAAUUCUACAUUUCUCUCUGUCUACACACUCUCAACUCUCUGAAUUCACAUGGUAUCAGAGCGUGUUUAGCUCAAUCCUUUCAUUCUGAUGACCAACUCCGGCGACUCCUCGCCGCCUCCACAGUCCACCGUCAAUCGCUCUCUCAUCACAUCCAAUCCACUCUCUGCUCAUUACUCCNNNNNNNNNNNNNNNNNNNNNNNNNNNNNNNNNNNNNNNNNNNNNNNNNNNNNNNNNNNNNNNNNNNNNNNNNNNNNNNNNNNNNNNNNNNNNGCUUACAACAAUGCUGCUCAAGCUUGGCAAGAUCUCAAGCUUCGAUUCAGCUAGGGAGAUGCGAUUCGAAUCGCCGAUUUGCAAGCCAGGAUUGCUUCCUGUGAUCAAGGUGAUGCUUCUGUGACUUAGUACUUCACUAACCUCAAGGUUUUAUGGGAGGAAUAUCUCCAGUAUAGGCCGAUCCCCAACUGUGAAUGUGCUUCCGCCUAUGCUAGAAUAAGUGUGUGUGUUGUGGUUAGACGCAUGAUCACUUACCAGGAUCAGGACUAUGUCAUUAGAUUCAUUAGAGGACUUAAUAGCUCUUUUGAUGUUGUUAGAUCACAGCUUCUGUUGAUGGAUCCUAUACCAGAUAUCAACACAGCCUUCAAGUGUGCUGUUCAAUUGGAAAGACAGAUGCGAGGAUCUGGAGCUCCUCGAUCUGUUGAGUCAGUAGCAUUGGCUGCUAUACAUUCCAAAUAUCAUGGAGAAAAACUAUUUUGCAAAUAUUGCAAGAAAGAAAACCAUAUGAUUGAAGAUUGUCUGAAGUUGAAAAACAAACGAGCAAGAGAGGCAAGUGGACAGUUUGGAGGUAAUGUGAGUGGUGGAUCAAGUGGAAACUUUGCUGGAGCUGUGACUACUGCUGGGAGUCAGUCGAGUGACAACCACACAGGACUGGAUCAAAGGUCCUCUCUACCAGAUCAGCAUUCCAUGACAGCUGAUAUGUCGCUAUCAGCUCAGGACAUUGCACGUCUCAAGCAGUUGCUCCAACAGUCAAAUCUGCUUCAUUCACCUGCAGAACCCUCCGUUAACACCAUAGCCUCACCCAGCACACUCAAUAACGGUAAUAACCUCAUCCCUAGUCCUUCUGCAUCUAGUUCCCUACAUGAGUCCCCUGUGUGGAUUGUUGACACUGGUGCCAGUGACCAUGUUGCCUGUUCCAUUUCUUCUUUUGGUAAAAUCGAACCCCUAUCGAACGUCCAUGUUACUCUACCUAAUGGCUCUAGGGUCUUAGCUACACAUCGUGGUUCUGUUGAUCUUCCUUGUGGCAUCAAGCUGCUUAAUGUGUUGCACAUACCUCAGUUUAGUUUCAAUCUAAUUUCUGUCAGUCGUCUCACUCAUGAUUCAUCCAUUUCCCUGUCUUUCUUUCACAACCAGUGCCACAUUCAGGACCUUGUCUCACGGAGGAGGAUUGGUUCCUUCCCAGUCAUUAGAGGUUUAUAUCUUCUUCCUAGUAAUCUUUCAGUUCAAACCUACAUGUCCAACACAUCUGUCCUUUCAUCCGUUGUUGCAGCCUCUCUCAAUCUCCAGCCUCAAAACAUUGAUGUUUGGCAUUGUCGCCUUGGUCACCCUUCUUUGCCUCGUAUACAACUUGUUCAUCACGUUGACGCCAAUGUCACCCUUCCUACUCAGUCCCAUUGCAGCACCUGUCAUCUAGCAAAACAAAAGGCAUUGCCUUAUUCUCGUAGUUUGUCUAGAGCCACUAAGGCAUUUGAACUUGUUCAUAUGGACAUAUGGGGUCCUUUAAGUACAAUUUCACACAAUGGAUAUUCAUAUUUCCUCACCAUUGUUGACGAUUACUCCCGAUGUGUUUGGACCUAUUUGAUGCACAAUAAAGGGGAAACUCGUGCCUUAGUUGUUAGCUUUUGUGAACUUGUCCAGAAUCAAUUCCAAUCAAAUGUCCAAACCAUUCGUUCAGACCAAGGGUCUGAAUUCUGCAUGACAUCUUUCUUUGCUUCCCGUGGAAUCAUGCAUCAAACCAGUUGUGUAGGUCAAGCUCAGCAAAAUGGUCGUGUUGAGCGUAAACACCAACAUCUUUUAGCUGUUGCUCGCUCCCUUAGGUUCCAGAGUGGUUUGUCUCUCAGGUAUUGGGGGGAAUGUAUACUUCAUGCAUCAUACAUCAUUAAUCGCAUUCCUACACCCCUUCUAUCAAACAAAUCUCCCUUUGAAGUACUAUAUGACUCUCCACCAUCUUACAGCCAUCUUCGUGUCUUUGGAUGUUUAGCAUAUGCUAGUACCCUACCCCAUGGUCGAACUAAGUUCAGUCCCCGUUCUGUUCCCAGUGUCUUCAUUGGCUUCCAGAAUGGAGUCAAGGGGUAUAAGCUCCUUGAGAUUCCAACUGGUCGCAUCUUUCUCUCACGAAAUGUCAUGUUCCAUGAAACCAUCCUCCCUUACAACACUACACCUCUCAGUCAUAACCCCAUAUCAGAAAAUACCUUAGAUUCACUCUCUCCAACUACAAACACACCCCUCAACACUGAUCUGGAACUUCCUUCUUCACCUUCACCUUUAUCCCCACCUGAUCAGCCUGUGUCCAACACAAAUUCAUCUCCCAUUCCUGAUUCCAUUCCCACAGAGGUUCCUCAUCAUGUGUCUCCCAUUAGAAAAUCAACCCGUGUAUCAAAACCACCUAGUUACCUUACAGACUAUCACUGCAACCUAAUGACUUCUGGAAGUCUUCUGUCCAAAUCUUUUUCUUCUUAUCCCUUGCAUCAUUAUGUCUCAUAUGAUCAUAUAGAUCCCAAAAACAAACACUUCACCCUUUUCAUUAGUACGAUACCUGAGCCACAAACCUAUGCUGAGGCUGCUCGAUUUGACUGUUGGGUUCAAGCAAUGCGUGAAGAGCUGCAAGCUCUAGCUGAUAACAGGACAUGGGCAGUCAUGGAACUGCCUCCUGGUAAGAGGUCAAUUGGUUGCAAGUGGGUGUGUAAGGGAGUUUAUGGCCUGGAUUUUACUGACACAUUUUCUCCAGUUGCUAAGAUUAAUUCAGUUAAAGCGUUGUUGGCUGUUGCAGCAUCUAAGAACUGGCAUUUACAUCAAAUGGAUGUUAGUAACGCUUUCUUACAUGGUGAUCUGGAGGAAGAAGUUUAUAUGGAUGUUCCUCCAGGGUUAGAUAUGGAGAACACAGGUUGGACUAGACCUGUUUGCAAGCUGUACAAGUCCCUCUAUGGACUGAAGCAAGCAAGUCGACGAUGGUUUGUGAAGUUGAGUGAUGCACUCAAGGGAGAAGGUUUCCAUCAGUCAGCAGCUGACCAUUCUGUGUUUAUCUACACAGCAUCAACUGACAUGGUGGUUCUACUGGUUUAUGUCGACGAUAUCAUAUUAGCAGGUAAUAAUAUUGAUCUUAUACAGGAGGUUAAGGGCAAAUUGCACAAGCAUUUCAAGAUCAAGGAUCUAGGAGAACUAAAGUUCUUCUUGGGGCUGGAAAUCACACGUGACAGCACUGGAAUCACUAUGUGCCAGCGAAAGUAUUGCUUGGAGUUGAUUGAAGAAGCAGGCUACAUUGACAAGAAGCCUUCUAAAACUCCCGUGGACUACAAAAAUAAGCUCAGGGCAGGCGAAGGGCAACCAUUGGAGGAUGUAUCUGAGUAUAGGCAGCUAGUGGGACGACUACACUAUCUUACUAUCACUAGACCUGAUAUUAGCUACUCAGUCCAACAAUUAUCCCAGUUUCAGGCAAAUCCCACUAAUGUCCAUCUGGAGGCUGCUUACAAAGUGAUCAGGUACCUCAAGGGGGCACCUGGUCAAGGGCUAUUCUUUGGGAAGAACAACCAACUUACGAUGACAGGAUAUAGUGACUCUGAUUGGGCUAGCUGCCCUGACACGAGGAAGUCAACUACGGGAUACUGCUUGUUCCUAGGAACAGCACUAAUUGCCUGGAAAACCAAGAAGCAGAAUACUGUUUCGAGAUCAUCAUCAGAGGCAGAGUACAGGGCAUUAGCACAAUUGUGCUGUGAGGUGCAGUGGAUGAAAUUCCUGCUUGAAGAUUUUGGGAUCGUGCAUUCAGAAGCAGCGAUGCUGCACUGUGACAACCAGUCAGCUCUACACAUUGCACACAACCCUGUGUUUCACGAGAGGACGAAACACAUAGAGAUCGAUUGUCACGUUGUUAGGGAACGAUUGCAAUCGGGAAUGAUUAAGUUGAAUUAUGUUCCCACUGAGGUUCAGCUAGCAGAUAUGUUCACGAAAGGACUGACUGCUGCUCGCAUGAAGAUGUUGUUAUACAAGCUGGGAAUCGUUAAUAUAUACUCCCCAGCUUGCGGGGGGCUGUUAGAAUCGAAGGAUGGCAGCUAGUAAGUGUAAAAGAGUGUGGUAGAGUUAGUUAUUACUGUUGUAACUAACUUUGACUUCAUUGCAUUCCUUUCCUUUUGUACAUAUAUAGUUGCAGAGCUGUACAAUGAAACUAAGAAAUACAAUAACAGAAUUCUACAUUUCUCUCUGUCUACACACUCUCAACUCUCUGAAUUCACAGUUUUCCUUCUGUAGUUUACAUAAAGGUCUCAUUCUUAGUUGUAGCUUUCAGAAAUGGAUUAACCAAAUAAGUUCCCGUAAGCUAGCUUCCGCCUCAUUGUUAAUAACUCUAUAUGAACAGUCUAAUAAUUAUAUACGCCUCUGUAACUAGGUAGAUCCUACAAAGUAUAAGACUCAGCAGGUAAGAGAUUGAAUCAAUAACAAUGUACUGCAGAAUAAUGCGAAUACAGGCUCUGGUUUUGGUACUGCUAUUGGUGGUUGCUAAUGGCGAGUACCGUGAUCACAAGUGCACCUGCAAGCGCUACAGAGAUAUGUGUAACCAAUGCGACGUUGGUGCUGGACGAUGCUGUAGCCGGCAUGGAUAUUGUAGUUCUACCGAUUGCCCACCUCCUGAUGCUGCUGCUGCUGCUGGAACCGGCCUGCUGGUUCCGGCCACCUACAACGACAGAAAUCUUAUCCCUCAAGCUUCUGACCGGAACUUGUCGAUUGCAUGGCGAAGGAGUUAUGGUUGGGUGACCAUCUGUGGGCCGUCAACAGUUGUAGCACUCGAUCAUGUUCAGGCUCGUCGGUGCUUAAAGGUCCGUCUCGUUUUUUUAGUGAUUUGGGGACUGUGUUCUUCCUAGGUUAUAUUGAUCCUUGAUUUAAGUGAUUUGGUGAUCAAACUAACUACUAACAUAUAAUAUAUAAUCCAUGGUCCACACAUAUUUAUAACUACGACCCUUGUGAGAUCGGUAUUGACAAUUGCAGAAUCAGCCGUAGGCGAACCUAAAUCACCACUCAAAGUCUCCAAAAUAACCAAGUGCUAUGCAAAAUUUUAAAAAGAAAUUCAAAAUUUUUCGCACAGCGUAACAUUCAAAUUCACUUCAAAUUUGAAAUUCUACCGAGGGCUAUCCUACUUCUGCUAUUUUGACAGAAUUUGAAUAGUAAUCAGUUGGAUUUAAAUACAGUAAUUGGUUUGGUGUUGCAUAAUGCAGGUAACUAAUAGGGUCAAUGGGAAAGAAGCAGUGGUGAGAAUUGUGGAGAAAGAGUGUAGAUCAAGCAACACAAGUGGUAUUAGUUUGGAGUUGGACUAUGUUGUUUUCCAACGUCUCCACCAAAGUGGUAACAGAAAUUAUGUAAGAGGCCACCUACUGGUCUCCUACCACUAUGUUCACUGUAUCGAAUAGAAUCACUAGAUUAUGUGGCCGGGCAAUGCUGCGGAAUCCUUAAUCGGAGCUAGGAUCAUGUUGAACCUACGAAAUCAUGACAUGUUUAACCGUGUAUCGAUCUUAUCGCGUUAAUUCUGCAAAUCUUAAUUGGUUCGAUUUCAGCAACAUGAACUGGACAUGUUUUUUCACUAGGAUGACUUGGUCAUUUUGGACAAACCAAAUAAACAUAACAGAGUUCAUCAGCAGUACCACAAGCUUACAAAACCACAUUAUAUAUAUCCAAUGAACCAACCGAAAUUACAUUAACCAAACCGUACAUUUUCCCCAUCUCUCAAUCAAGAUCUCAUCCUGUUGAUCUGGUUCAAAGCCGGCUGCAGAAUGUUGUAAAGCACCCACAGAAUCGCCGGCGCCACCACAAUCAGCAACAGAGUGCCCCUGUUGUCGCUCCCGGUGGCGGCCGCCUCUGCAGCCGCAGCUUACGCCUCAGGAGCCGUCUCCGCCAGNNNNN
rnacentral:lncRNA from 1 species